rnacentral:lncRNA from 1 species
GAUGCUUAUGGCUUCAAAAUGUUUCUACAUGCAUUAAGUGAAUUAAUUCAAGGAGCUUCAACACCUUCUAUAUUACCUAUAUGGCAAAGGCAUCUCUUAAGUGUUACAUCACUAUCACCAAAUAUUACAUGUACUCACAAUGAAUUUGAUGAAGAAACUCCAUCAAAAAUUGCAUGGGAAUCAAUCGAAGACGAGUUGAUACAACAAUCAUUUUUCUUUGGAAAUAAGGAGAUUGAAGCUAUUAAAAAUCAACUUUCUCCAUAUUGUGGAAGUACAAAAUUCGAGUUAUUAGUAGCAUUUUUAUGGAAAUGUCGUACUAUUGCUCUCGAUUUGCACCCUGAAGAAAUUGUUCGUUUGACGUUCUUCGUUAGUAUACGUGGAAAAUUACAAAAAUAUAAAUUACCAUCCGGAUAUUAUGGUAACGCGUUUAUUUCGCCAGCUACGAUAUCAAAAGCAGGAUUAUUAUGUUCAAAUUCAUUGACAUAUGCAGUUGAAUUGGUGAAGAAACUUAAAUAUGAUAUGAAUGAAGAGUACAUAAAAUCAUUGACAAAUUUAAUGGUGAUUAAAGGAAGACCUAAGUUAUCAAAAUCAUGGAAUUUUAUUGUGUCAGAUAAUAGAUUUGUUGGAUUUGAUGAAAUUGAUUUUGGAUGGGGAAAACCUAUAUUUGGAGGGGUUUCAGAAAAAAUAUCUUUAAUUAGUAUUGGUAUUCCUAUUAAUAAUGAAAAGGGAGAAAAAGGUAUUUUAGUAGCAAUAAGUUUGCCUCCUUUGGCUAUGGAAAAAUUUCAAAAAAUUGUGUAUAAUAUGAAUUUUAAAAAUGUAGGAACCAACAUAAUUUCAAAGAUGUAGAUGAAUUUUGAAUUCAUCAAUGAUUAAAUCAAAAUUAUAUAUGGAGAUGGUACUAUAUGUUCGAUUAUUUUUCUAUUAGAAUGUACUUGUCCAUCAUGUGAUUACGUUUUUGAUAGUUUUUGAUAGUGUAUAAAAUUUUAAAAAGAAAUCAAUAAUGUGAAUUCGAAAUCAUACGCAACCUUGUCAUAUCAGACAAUGGUUAUUUACUUAUUAUUGUGUUGUUAAUUUAAAUAUAAUUCUUUAAUAAAAGGUAAAGAUCCUUCAAAGAUCAUACACGCAACCUUGUGAUAUCAGACACUUGUGUUUUAUUAACCAUUAGCCAUGAAAAAAUUUCAAGAAGUUGUCUAUGAAAUGACUUUAGAAAAUAAGGAAGAAGUCAACAUAAUUUAAAGGAUGUAAAAGUGAAAUAAAUUAAAAUUAUGGAGCUUGUAAUAUUUCAUCAUUUUCUUAUUAAAAAGUACUUGUAAAUGAUGUAUGAUAUUUAGAAAUCUAAUUAUAUGUUUUAUGUUUGAUUGAAAAGUAUUUUUAUUUUAUUUUUUGAAUUAAGAAAUUUCGUUUAUUUUAUGUUAUUAAUUUAAAGUUUGAUUUAUUUAUGCGAUUUUUAUUUGAGAAAAGGCUUAUUUAUGUCUUUUUAAAGUUCGAUAGCAUAUUUUUAGUUUUUCCUCUUUAAAAAUGAUUUAUUUAAUUAUGUGGCCAAACUAUUAUUGAUCAUGUGUAAAAAAUAAUUUUGCGAAAUCGAAAGUACAAUUUUUAGAUAAUAAAUAUUGAUAUGAGUGAACCUUUUUUAAAACGAAAAUGACAUAAACGAGUGAUACUUUAUACAAAAUCAUAAUGAAUCUUUUCUCAAAAUAAGUUUCUAUAAAAAUAACUAUUAAUUAAAUAAUCAUACGCAAUAUAUUAACUCCUCUUCUACUAUACACAUAAUAAAAGGUUUAGAUAAAAGAGAUAUAGUAUAAAAAAAAAGUUUAGAUAAAGGAUCAAUGUACAGUAUGAAAUUAACAUAUACUCUUUCUCCGCAUCAAUUUAUUUAUCUUAUUUUUUUUAAGUUAGCCUAAAAAAGAAUAUCUUUUUAUUAAUUUUUAAUUUAUAUUUUUCAUACGCAAGACUAUAAAAUUAAAGAAUAUUUGAACACUUAUGUAUUACGCAACUUUAACUUCAAGUCACAAAAUGCAAAAAAAAAAAAAAAACCUUUUACUUAUUUAAACUUAAUAUGAAAUAAAAAUCACAAUAAUUAAUAAAUUAAAACAAAAGAAGUACCUUUUAACUUACUGGUUAUUGUGACUACUAGUCUAGAAACAUUUAACUAGCAAGUAGAUUCCAAGACGUUUUGUUUUUCCCUCUUUCAUCAUCAAGUGUACGUUUAAUUCCUUCGAUUCAUUUAACUUGUCAUGUUGUGUAUUCAAGAAUUUUAAAUUUUUUACGAAAUAUUAAAUUUAAGGUAUAAAUUUGAUUGAUUUGACAUUUAAAUUUUUAGAUAAAAGAAAGAUAAUGUGAAUUCUACGUUAAUUGAGCAAAGAUCAUUAUAAGAAACAAUACGCAAUCUUGCCAUGGUAGACAACUAAAGAAUCAAUAUACAAUAUGAACAUAAUCUUGUCUUACGUAUCAAUUUCUUUAUUUUUUUACUUCCCUUUUUUUUUUAUAAUUCUCUAAUUUUAAAUUUCUAGGUGACAUACAUUGUUGGAAAGUUGAAAAACCUAUAAAAGAGUUUUGAUGAUUGAUAAAGUGAAUAUGGUUCACCACUUGUUAUCUUAUGUAUACUCUAACAACCUUUCAAGAUUGCCCUACGGCCCGUACAUUGUAAAAAAACCAUCUAGGGAUUCGUACUAAAUUUCAGGUGCCCUAAACGGCUCGUUUAGGGUUUCGUGAAGGGUCCCUGGCCUGUUAACUCACUCUAGUCUCUCUCGAAGUCCUAGGUGUUACAAUGACAUAGCAUGAAACUUUAAAAUUUAGCAAAUGUUGAGCAAAAAAAAGAGUAUUGAAGCAAAACUUUAAAAUUUUCAACCUAUAAGAUGAGAAAUCUAAGCCUAUAAAGAAUAAAGCUAAAAUGGUCAAUUCAUGAAUGCAUAGUUUGAUAGUGAAAGAUAUAUAUAUAUAAGUUAAUUUUUAAUUUUUUGUAUCUCCCAUCUUUUAAUACCUUAUAAAAUCAACAUCAAUAAAAAUUUGUAAAAAAUUUGAAGGUUGAUAUUUAUUUGAUACAUUGGCCCUCUAUAAAUCUAAUUCACAAUACAAAAUUGUAUUACUCUCAUCAUACACUACUCUUUGUUGUAUAUCACAUAUGGCAAAUAUUCUACCAAUUUCAAUAAAUUACCACAAGCCAAAACUAGUAGUUCCAUCAAGUGUAACAUCUCAUGAGACAAAACGUCUUUCUGAAAUAGAUGAUCAAGGGUUUAUUCGACUCCAAAUCCCCAUACUAAUGUUUUACAAAUACAAUUCUUCAAUGAAAGGUAAAGAUCUAGCAAAAAUUAUCAAAGAUGGAUUAUCUAAAACACUUGUGUUUUACUAUCCAUUAGCUGGUAGACUCAUUGAAGGGCCUAAUAAAAAGCUUAUGGUAAAUUGCAAUGGUGAAGGAGUCUUGUUUAUCGAAGGUGAUGCUAAUAUAGAGCUUGAAAAAUUAGGUGAAUCUAUUAAGCCACCAUGUCCAUACUUGGAUUUACUACUUCAUAAUGUUCAUGGUUCUGAUGGAAUUAUUGGUUCUCCUCUUUUGUUAAUUCAGGUAAAUAUCCUCAUCUUUUUUCUCUUUCAAAAGACAAGUGUUGUUGUAAUAUAUAUAUCUGUACCAUAAAUACAAUAAAUUACAGUUGUAAAUAAAUAAUUAUUUAGGUGGAGACGCGGAUAUUUUGCUCUCUUUUAAGGAGAUGCAAGCUCACUGCGAUAUAAUCUACACCGAUUCAGCAGUAUCGCUCUUGACUUGUCUCCUCCAGAAUACAACAUCCCAACGAUGUGUACAACUCAAGCAACGUCGGAUUAAUUGAAAAGUCAAAAGUUUCACGAAAAGAACGUCUUCCUUAAACAUAUACACAGUGAAUAUAGAUAGUUGAAUACUUCGGAAUAUUUUCUUUGUAGUCUCAAUUCUCUCUUUCACUACACUAACCUCAAUAUAAAUUUACAUUAGGUCUCAUCUUCUUGAGAUACUUCACAAAGACAGAAACACCAAUAUUUUAUAGCUGAAGAAAUCUUCCAUAUAAUUAAGGUGGAAUGAGGGGUAGUAAUGUCGAUCGGUAGAUAAAUGUGAUAGAUAUUACAUGAGUUCCAAGAACAAAUAGUCAUCUUCUACCAUACGUUAUACCACUAACUGAUGCACUUAAUAUUUUAAUAAUCAAAUGAAUAUAGACCAAGCAUUCUACCUUCUUUAUUCAAGUUAUAUAUUAAUCAUACUCUUUCUAUAAAUGGUUAAAUUCUUAGACUAAUAUAUAUAUAUAUAUAUACCUCUUUGAAUAGGUGACUCGUUUUACUUGUGGUGGAUUUGCUGUUGGAUUUAGAUUUAAUCACACAAUGAUGGAUGCUUAUGGCUUCAAAAUGUUUCUAAAUGCGUUAAGUGAAUUAAUUCAAGGAGCUUCAACACCUUCUAUAUUGCCUGUAUGGGAAAGACAUCUCCUAAGUGCUAGAUCAUCACCAAGUAUUACAUGUAUUCAUCAUGAGUUUGAUGAGGAAAUUGAAUCAAAAAUUGCGUGGGAAUCUAUGGAAGAUAAGUUGAUACAACAAUCAUUUUUCUUUGGAAAUGAGGAGAUGGAAGUCAUUAAAAAUCAAGUUCCUCCAAAUUAUGAAUGUACAAAAUUCGAGUUAUUAAUGGCAUUUUUAUGGAAAUGUCGUACCAUUGCUCUUAAUUUGCACUCUGAUGAAAUUGUUCGUUUGACAUACGUUAUUAAUAUACGUGGAAAAAAGUCACUCAACAUUGAAUUACCAAUUGGUUAUUAUGGGAAUGCGUUUAUUACUCCAGUUGUUGUAUCAAAAGCAGGUUUGUUAUGUUCAAAUCCAGUGACAUAUGCAGUUGAAUUGAUCAAGAAAGUUAAAGAUCAUAUAAAUGAAGAAUACAUCAAAUCAUUGAUAGAUUUAAUGGUUACUAAAGGGAGACCAGAGUUAACAAAAUCUUGGAAUUUUUUGGUCUCAGAUAAUAGAUAUAUUGGAUUUGAUGAAUUUGAUUUUGGAUGGGGAAACCCCAUUUUUGGAGGGAUCUUAAAGGCUAUAUCUUUCACUAGUUUUGGUGUUUCUGUUAAAAAUGACAAAGGAGAAAAAGGUGUUUUGAUAGCUAUAAGUUUACCUCCAUUGGCCAUGAAAAAACUUCAAGAUAUCUACAACAUGACUUUCAGAGUCAUAAUUUCAAAUAUAUAAGGCUUUUUCCUAUUUGAAAGUACUUGUAUUUUAGUAUUUUGUUUCAAUUUAUGUGACAGUGUUUGAAAAAAUAAACGACUUGUUUGUAUAAAUAAUGGUGACUUGGUUUUAUGUAUAAAUCAACUGAAUUCCAUUUACAAUUUACAUAAAUUGGACACACAUAUUUGGAUAAGUACAAGGAAAAAAAGUUUUGAAAGUAAAUAAAGAUCCAUCUUCAUUAUCAAGCAAAGAUUCUAUGAUGAUUUAAGAUUCCACAUUGUUGAUUUCUCCUGAAAAUAGAAACAAGAAUGCAAAACAAGUUAGUGAGAGCUCAGAAAACUCAAACAUUUUGUAUAUCAAUGUAUUUAGUAAGAUUCAUGACUAUAAACUAAUAAAACGUUUGCGUUGGAGGAAUCUUAGUCGCUUAGCUGGUUGGCUGGUUAUCUGAACUAUCACCUUGUUAGUGAGUUCGAUUUCACCAUCUUGUAAUCAAUCCCCUACCCCCAAAAAAAGAUGGCAAUUACCUAAAGAAAAGAACUGGGAUAACAUAUUGAAGCUAGUUUCGAGAUUGAAUAUCUAGAAAACAAUACCGUGCAUGCAUUUGAUGAAGUAGUCCAGUUCCGAGAAACAUAUUGCACUCUGAACCAAAGGCGAUGGUUGUUGGAAUGCAAAAAAAGAGAAACGGUGACGAUCAGGAUCAUUUCUAGGCUUUGCAGUCUCAACCAGCCUCAUAAAUCCUUCUCUAUCAUAGCACGGAAAUGCAUUCUGACCAGCAACAGUGAUCUUCUUAUCCCAUGCUGAAUUUAUUAUCUGCAGAAACGUACAGAGAAGUGUUUAAGACGCAAGAAAAGAAAAAUGAACCUGGGCUUCACUGCUCUCUGAAUGAUAUGCCCUGAGGGGUGUAUCUACGAAUCAAACUUCUUCUGUUUGCCUCUUUAAGAGAGUUCUCGGAGGAAUGUUAAGAAGCCAAUAACCUGCCAACUCAAGCCUUCUGGAUCUGCUAACGCGUCAUCAGUUUCUGGAACCUGAAGCCCUGAGCUUACAAACUUUAUUGUUACAGAGUGCUUUUUGAGAACUUCAAACACUGGAGAAUAGCCAUCCUGGUUCGUUGGGUUGUAAUAUCCAGCUGUGAGCUCUGCAGCAUGGCUGCUCGUUCUGUACCACCAAUAAAUUGAUGGAAUCUGCAGAAAAAAGGGAAAUCUAAUUCACCAGGAAAAAGUAUGCCUCUAUCCAAGUUGUUCAUUAGGAUACUGUCAGUCUUUUAGACAAACAUUUACACUUGUUCAACUACCUAGAACACCAUCAAUGUGCACCAGCUAAAUCAAUUUGAAAAGCAACAAAUAACUCAAAGGAAAUAUGUUACAAGUGCAGUGUUUCAUUAUUUUAUCAUGCUCAUUUUUCCUGAAUGCUUUAUUAACACUUCCUCUAUUAUCUGUCAUGUCUUCUUUACUUCCGUAUAUUUUUUGAUGUGUUACUUAAGCUAAGGGUCUUUUGGACACAGCAUAUCUACCUCCAAGAGGUAGGGGUAAGUCCGAUACACUCUACCCUCCCAAGACCUGACCUGUGAGAUUGCACUGGGUAGGUUGUUGUUCCCUCCCUCCCUCCCUCCCCCGAACUGAACCAGAAGGUAUUAUCAAUUCCACUUCAUGAAGGUCAAUCCAAUUUACAUUUGACCAGAAACAUCUUAAAUAUUUUGACCUACUAUAAUUUUGCUACUUUAGUAUUAUUAUUGGUCAAAGUGAUCCAAAGUAAAGAAAGGCUCUCGAGUUGGAAGCUAAGAGCAUAAACUACCAAUUUUGAACUAUUGGAGAUGAAAAGAAUAGAAAUUAAUAAAUAGAAAGAAAAAAAAAGAGCAAAACAGGAGUAAGAAAGUAUAACGAGCUGAUUUAGGCCCAUAUGUAUACCUUCACGACAAUUUGUAUCCCCUCAAAUGCAAGACUUGCCAGGGUGAGAACGUUAUUAGCAUGAUCUAUUAAGACCUGUCUAUACCAAUGGAGGAAAAAUCUCCCAUAGUAGCUAUCAUAAUCACCUCGCUCACAGAAGAAUCCAGUUUCAUGUGGCUUAGCAUUGUAAAAACCAGCAUUAUCAGGACCUUUGGCCCAGAAAGAGUGUCCCCUUGAUGUUGCAGCUUUUCGAAGAUUCUGCAGAGAAUAUUUAUCAUAGCACUGAAACAGAAAAAGUUGAAGCCAAUUAGAGGGGGGGACAAUCAAAUAAAAUAAAAAGGGUUUUAAAUUCAUGUUCAGGACACCAUUAUAAUAGUUAUCUAGUUUAAAUUUUAAAGGGAAACACGCUAUUAAAUUAUACAAAAACUAUCCACUUAGGUUAAAUGAAGAACCAUUCAGUGUCAGACUCAGACUACGCAUUUUCAAGUACACCAAAAAUAUCAAACAAACUCAGGGAACAAGAUAAGACUGUUUUCUAAAACUAUAGUUGGUGAAGACCAAGAAAUAUGACCAAAUUACGUAACAAAUCAUAUAUCAUAGCAUUCCUAUAACAGAUACCUGAAACUCACCAAUACCAGGAUACCUCCAUCCCAUCCUUUCAGAAAAGGAAGGGUACUUUAGCUCCCCAGAAGCUCCAAGUCCAAUUUCAACAGCAGAAAUUAGACCAUCAGUGAACAAGUCAUCAAAUUCAGUGCGGAAGCUUCUCAUCAAAUCAAAGUAAACCUGCAAUUUUGGAUUUCAAACUAGUGAUCAAAAUAACUAAUAUUUAGUUACAAUUUAGACAAUACCACUUUAUUUCUUUUUAGUUUUCACUUUCGUCUCAGCAUCAGCAAAGGCAAUCAAGGGGAGAAUACACUCUUUUAUGUAGGAAAUGAUACAUCAAUCAGACUUCUAUUAACAAAAGCCACAUUACUUUUCACUUCUAAAACUAAUCUUGUGGAAGUUCCUCCGAAAUACAAAUUAUUCAUUAUCCAGUUGACAGUACAAUUUACAUGAUUGGAUGAUAUGUAUAAGAGAGAUAUUCCCUUCAAAGAAUCAGGGAAUGUUAGCUUUGCUCAUUUGAAAGGAAUAAAAAGAAAAAUUAAUACCUCGAUGGCAGUUCUACCUCUUAAUACUCGUUCUUUGUCAAUGCCCCAGGAUAGGCAUUCUGUGUUCCUUCUUCCUUGAUGAUCUGUGAAGAAUAUAUCCUGAUUGUCUUUGCCUAUCUCCAGAACCCACUGAGGAAGGGAUAUGAACAUGCCACCGGUAUCACUUCCUCCAUUUUCAUGAAAUGCCAUUACAACCUUGUGGAUAAAAGAAGAAAUACCAUAUCUAUUAUUGGGAAUCCGUCCAUAAAUAGCCUAAAUAAGCUCAACAAAUGUCCUAAUGCAAACAUAAAAUGGGAACGUAUAUUAAUGCACUUUUUUCUGGUUCAAUUACUUUCUCCUCAAGGAGUGAGGGGAGUACUAUUCCAGAAUAUAGAUGUAAUGAGGCAUCGUACGAAUGAAUAGUUAGUAAGAAACUCAAAUGACUAAAGCAGUAAGGCCAGGGUUCGUUCCACCAAAGGAUGACUAGUAUAAGACUCGUUAGAAAUUUGACGAAUCAAUAAGAGUAUAAUAUAAACAAAGAGUGGUUUAAAACCUGUAGUUUCAUAUUGAAAUCACGGAUUAUUUUGAACAAUUCUCUGUAGCCAGACCACUCAUAUUUUUGAGGCACCCAGCUUUCAACGAUGCCCCACCAGCAAUUUACCACAACACCAUCAAUUUUUAAAGACUUAAGCUGUUGCAACUCCUGUUUAACACCAUCAGGAUCCAUCAACUGGCAGAAAUUGUUGAUUACACCACUCUGCUACAAACAAAGACAUGAUCUAAGUAUGGGUAAUUAGAAUGAAAAUGUAAUGUGUAUAGAUAUGAUGUCAACUGUUCCAUUAUGUUUCAUUUUGAAUGGUGAACAUGGAAACACAAUUAAAAAUGAGGGAGAAAUCUGAAAGCUUGGCAUCCUCCUUUUAUGUGUAAUGACGAACAAAAAUACAUUAAGGAAAAAGCUGCUUACAGAAAGCAUAACAAAAACAGGGACGUAUUGAGUCUCUGAAAAACUACCUCCAUGCUCCCCACAGUGAAGUUCUUGCAUGAGCUGCAACAAAUAACUUGUUAGAUAUCCUCCGAUGGGAGAAUAAAUGUAUCUAGUAUACCAAUCUUCGCUUAAAAAUAGCUUACAAAUAUACAAGCAACCAUGUUUUAUCAAGAACAACUUAGUCUGUUCUCUGCCAGCUGAAAUAAAAUCAUACUACUAGACUUCUUCAAAAAAAUAAAAUCAUACUACUAGGGUCUUUGAAGCAUGAAUAGUUGAUCUCAAAAUAAACUUCCAAAAUGAAUGUGAGAUAUUAAAAGAAGAAAGUCAACAUUAAGAUCUUUCACUGUUGUUGCGAGAAAAGUCAAAACCACUCAAAUAAAUAUGUCGGAAGUGGAACAAGGAAUUAUUACGUCAACUAUGUCAUCUCAGACGCAGCUUAAGUAGCAUGAACACAGACACAAAAUAUUUUGAGAAUUUGCGGGCAUGACUCAAACAAGAAAAGAAAUUGCAUCCUCAUAUAUGACUUCAUAUGUUGCUUCAAUCUACCAAAAAAAAAUCAAAAAGAAAACAUGAGCUGCAGAUCCAACAUCAAUUUCACAGGUGCCUGCAUUAUAUUUAAGUCAGUCAACAUCACUUACAAAUAGAGAGACAGAGAGAGAAAGAGGAUGAAAAGAAAAUGCAUCUAAAAUCCUCCCAAAGACAAACGAACAUAAAACCUGAUACUAAACAACUCAAUAUAGUAGUAACUCUCCACUACCCCUCUGAUUUGGAAAAUAGACAAUAUGUAUCUUCAUCAGUUCUCAUUAUGCUAAAACAAUUCAAUUAGUUGACUUAACAGUGCUACAUUGCAGUCUAAUGAAAGGAUGGGAAAAGUUUAAGAUGGUGGAAUACAUCAUGAUAAAUAAUAAACCCCAAAGCCACGUUGAACAUUACUUUUAAUAUACAGCAUCCUCAACUUAUAGGAACUUGAUUUACCUGGCCUGCCUCUAAACAUCCUGCAGAAUUCAUUGGACUGGUACUUGUGAAUUUAUCAACCUUCGUGUCACUUUCUGUGACCACAAUAGAAUCAAAAGAUGCUGGCGAUAAACUCUCAUUGAUCCUAGUAACUGAUGGCUGACAGUCCACAGAUGCUCUGGUUGAGCAAUUUCUAAAGGAACUGCCAGAAACUGGGCUCUCAACAGACAUCACCUGAUAAGUCCCCUAUGAAAUUUAUUCAGUGAUAAUGAUAAUUAAGACAUCAUUUUUGUAGGCAGUUUAAUAUUUAAACAGAAUAUCAAGAAGAUCAAAUGCGAAUGAGACAAGAUGUUAUCUUUGCAACAGCAGGUGCAGUGAAAACAAAGUAACUCCAAAAUAAAAUAUGAAUUGUUAUGUAUUAUUUCAAAGCAAUGUAUUUUCAGAAACGUCUUUAAAAAGACCAUAUAAACAUAGAUUAACGGAUUCAUAGUCUUCCAAACGCAUUGACUGAUUGAAGGUACAUACCUAACAAUGAAACCUACAAUCCCAAGACAAAGUGUAAUAUCUGUUAGUGGUAAAUGGUAAUAACAAACGAGUUUGGUUGUUGUAUUUUCAUUUUUAGUUUGUACAUUCUACAAAAGAAAAUAAUGAUCUCCUCAAUUAUUACAUUUACAGUUAGAGCACCACAUACACCAAACUAUAAGGUACAUCAUUUAGACUUUGUACGCUGUUUUUUCUUUGUUUGUUUGUUUUUUCUAUUUUUUUUAUAGCAUAUACUUUGUAGGUCUCGUUUCUAAUUAUUAUAAGAAACUUCAGUUCUCUUUUCAUCAUCCAGCAAAUUACACCAUCAAUCAUUCCUUUGGUGGAGUAUACUUCAAGAUGGCAACUUGUCAAAAUCAUCCAACAUUUUUUUCUCUAUUAAAUUAGAUAAAAUUUAACUGUUUACUUUUUUCCAGUAAAUUCAGUUUCUUCGGGUAAAUAUUAGUAAUCUAGGAAAGACUUCACAUUCGAGAGUAAAUUCUACUUAACCCAUUAACCUUCGGGCUUGGGGAAACAGUAUUUCAUUCGGAUUAGAUAGCACAAAGAAUUUCAUGAACUUCAGAGUCAAGGAGAAAAAUAGAAGUCAUUCACCGGAAUGCCAGAAGGACAAAAUGUAGUGACAUCUCUCACAACACAGAAGACCAAGAAAUAUGGAAGAAUGACCUAAAAACUAAAAACCUUGUCCACAAUGUUGACAAGCUAAAGUAAGAUUUUCAAAAAUUGCAAAGAGUAACACCUUUGAAAGAAGGGUCAAGGUAUAAUAAAUUUUGGAACUCUAGGAAAAAAUCGCACAAAGCGAAAAAGCCAAAGGCAUGAAUAUCAAGUUUAAAUUAAUACUAUUGCAUAUUUAUUCUGUUUACGACAACAACGAACUGGUCUAAUCCCACAAGUGGGGUAUUGGGGAAGGUGGUGUGUACGCAACCUUACUCCCACCUUAUCCCGAAUAUAUUCAUUCCUAAUCAUAUCUCUCCUACUAUGCCCAAAUAUCAAUCUCAACAUCCUUAUUUCCGCUACUAUUAUCUUCUAGAAGUGUGAGUUAUUGACAAGCCAACACUCCACCUCAUACAAAAUAGGUGAUCUAAGAACCACUUUAUAAAACCUCUCAAACAACAUACUUGAUCUAAGAACCACUUUACGAAACAUACUUUUAGUCUUCAUGGCACAUUCUUAUCACAUACGACAUCGGAUGUUAGCUUCCAUUACAUCCACCUCAGUCCAAUGCGACAUGGAACAUCAUAGUAAAUCUCCUCAUUUCCUUGUAUUGUUGACCCAAGAUACUUGAAAUUUGGAGAUGACUUGUGUAUCAAACACAUCUACCUCAUGAAUUAUGUCACUAAUCUUGCACUUCAAUUACUUUGUCUUAGUCUUGCUCAUACUGAAUCCAGUAGACUCCAAGGUCUGUCUCCGAUCCUCGGACCAAUCGUCAACACAAAAGACAUAUCAAUCUAUGAUGUUUUUUCUAUAAGAGUGGUGUCCAGCUAUUUGCAUGCACCUCGCCUAUUCCACCAAAUACCUAUUAUCUCCCCCUGCACAAGUUCUGGUAACUCUCUCCCACCAAGGCUUAGGCGGAUAGCAACAAAUGACCUAACAUCUCGUCUCUGCAAAAAUUUGAACACCCCCCCCCACCCCAAAUCUCCCAGAGUUUUACCCACUUUGUUGAAACCUAGACUACACCACAUGGGCCAAAGGGGUUAUCUAUCACAUUGAAGAGGUAAAAGGGGUGCAAUAUAAUGGAUUAAGUGUAAUUUACUCUAUGCUUCAAUAACUAAUACUAUUUCUAUCUCUCAAAUUGGUUUCAGUAAGUGCAUUGCAUAUAACACUAAAACUAUCAAAAAUUAUCAAAGGUUAACUGUAAAGAUUCAAACUUUGGCAAAAGAACAUCAUCUAAAAAUCCAUUCAGUAGUAAAUGUGAAAAUUUGACACAUAAAUUAGAAGGAAGAGAGUAAUUUUAGUAAAUAUGAACUCACCAUAUUUGAAGCAUUAUUCACAGGAGCAGGAGUUUGUCUAAAGGUGGUACCAUCAGGCUCAACAGUCCAACCAGCUUGCCGAGCAAGUGCAGCAAGUACAUCAUUCAUAUCAGCACGAACAGGAAGUGGGAAAUUCCCGUACUGACGAAGUCCAGCAAGCAUUCGGCUCGUAAUUGCUCGCCGGUGACGUUCUCGUAGUUUCGUUCGUUCCUUCUCCUUCUCUCUCUCUUUUCUGCUCUUAUUAAUAGUUCCGGUGGCAGCAGCGGCGGCGCUUGUGGCGGCGAAGCCGCGGGGACGGCGAGGUUGGGGAUUGGAUUGGGGCUGAAGAUGGUGAGUCGGGUUUGGAUCAUCAUUCGGGUUGGGAAAUUGGGGAUCCGGAUCUUGGGUAUUCGAAAUGUGGUGAUGGGGAUUGCUCAUUGUUGCAUGUCUUCUUCAAUUUCCUCUACUCUUUUAUAGUCCCAAAUUUUAGAACUUUCGCAAAAAAUCAAAUCGAAUCGAAUAAAUUUAAGUUGGAGAGAGUGAUUCGGUAGCGUUAUGUUGUAACAUAGUUUAUGUUAAUAUAUUUUUCGAGAUAUAUUUUAUAAUUGAAAAAAUGAGAAAAUCUGAAUAAAUCAAAAUGGAAAAUUGACUUAAUUGGUUUAAUUUGAUUCUAACAUUUAAACAAUCUAUUUAUUUAAUUAGAUUUUCAUUUUAGGAAAAUCGACUUACACAAAAUCAUAAAAACAUCUAAUUUCAAUUUUGAAAAGAGGCAAAAUUAUGUUAAAUUAACCAUCAUUCUAAAAUUACUUAAUUCUUGAUAAAUAUGAAUUAGCAUUUUUCUUAUGAACAACUAUCAAAAUUAUGUCAUUUUUGAAAUGAUCCUAACGCUUUCUUUUGUUAAUUUUUUAAAAUAAAUAAAAAUUGCUCAAGAGUUUAUAUAAUUAUGAGACUAUUUUAAAUCUACUUAACGGAAAAAAAAAACAUUUUAAAAAUUUUCUCCUUUUAAAUACAAAACAUCAAUAAAUAUAUAUAUAUCUUCGACGGUGAAAUUUAACUUUUAGAAAUAUAUUUGAAACGUAAUAAUAAUAAUAAUAAUGUAGCAAGUCUUUCACAAUGGAAUUUGGGAGUAUGAUAUGAUAUGAAUAGGCAAGUUUCAACAUGAGUAUUGGAUAUUAGGUGAAAAACAAAGACAAACAAAUAAGUAUAAUAUUACUAGUAAAUUCAGAUUGAGUACAAAAUAUGUAUAGAUAAAAUGCAUAUACAGGGAUCAUGGAUAUACAAAUUAAAUUAUCUUGAUAUUAUAAUUUCUAGACUAAUUUAUCUCAAUAAAAGAUGGGAUAACAUACAUAAUCCCGUGUUAGAAGAGAUAAAAAGAAUCUUAAAAUUAAACUUAUAAUAAAUUUUAUACUGUGAAAUAUCAUAUACGAUAAAUCAAAUGCAAUAUUUUUGCCGUAAAUCAAAUCAAAUAUUCUAACAAAAUAUUCUAAAAGCACAAGUGUUUCCUACAAUUUGGACGAAUUAAAUUGUAUUGAGUUAAUAAAUAUAUGAGUUAAUUCGUCCGUCAAAAAAUUACUUGAGCUAAAAUUUUAGUUAUAACUUAAUCUGCUCAAUUGUUACUAAAAUUUAAAUGUUUUGUGCUUUUAUAAGUUUUUAUUACUUUAUAAGCUUAUUAUUUUUUUAUUUUUUAUGACUAUAUAUAAAUAACAUAUUCGAUAAAAUAGAAUAUCUUCUUAAUAAGAUUUCUCACAUAUUCAUUUGAGCUAAAUAAAAUAAAUUGAGCUAUUAUAUGGGGUCUAUUAUAUAUAGUUGUAUAAGGUAUCCUUCAUUAAAUAGUACUCUUGACUUAUAAGGCCAAAAUUGGUAGGUAAAACUUAAAAGCAGGUCAAUUUUCUGUAUUUAUAUGUGUUAUUAUCAGGAAAAAUGAAAUUAAAAAACAAAAUUGCAAAAAGUUUUUAGCUAAUAAAAGUAUUUUAGUAUUGCAGAUGCUAUUAUUAAUUAGUUAAUUUUAUCACAUAUUCACAUUCAUGCAUCUUAGAAGAAUGAGCAUCCAAAUUCAUCCCUCACCUAAUAAUAUUGACUUAUUUUUGGUAAUAUUAUAUCAUAUGUAAAUUUAUGUAUAUAUAAUAGUACAAUGUUAUUCUCUUUGAAUCAGAAUAAAUAUGUUUUUGAACCUUCUUUUUAAAAUUUCUUCAUAAGUUACCUUUAAGAAUCGAGAUGACUUAAUCUAAUUAUUUUGAAAUAUUAGGUUUUGAAUCCGUGGAGAAAUUUCUUCAAAUUUGUGGUAAGCUUCUUAUUCAAUUUUUUUUUUUUGUGAAAUAUUUAAGUUUUUUGUUAGAGAAAUUGAAAUCUUAAAUAUAAAGAAUUUUAUCUAUUUUAUAAAUUGGACAACAAUUUGUAAUCUUUUUCCAAAUAAUUGUAAUAUUCUCUUCGAUUAAUUUCAAAGGAUAUCUUGAAUUUCAAGACCUUUGACAAGCUUUUUUUUGUUUUUUUUUUAAUAAGGUAUAAGAGACAUUAGGAAUUUUCCUCUUUUCUUAAUUUAAUAAAACUUUAAUUCAUUUACAUAUGUUUUAUUUGAGCUUAUUAAAGCUUCAAGAUUUGCACAUAAAUUUUAAAUUUUUAUUUCAAUUUAUUUUGUUGAGAUAUUGUGAGUAGCUUGAAGUUUGGUGAAACAUCACCUCAACUUUAAAUUAAUUGUUGUUAUAUUGAUUUUGUUGCUACUCUAUGACUUGCUUUUUUGGUUUAUGUCUUGAAGACACUUAACAAAUUAGUUAUUAUUAGAGGGUAUAAAUUAUAAUUUUAUAGUUGGAUUAUGAAUAUGUUAAAAAUCACAUUCUUGUUAUGUGGAGUAUUUUUAUAAGAUAAUUUUAGUGAAUUUUGUAUAUAUUCUUAUUUUUUUUAUAUUUUUUUAGAAAUUAUUUAUUUCGAAUAAUUUUAAAAGGCUAAAAACCUCUUAUUAUGAACCGAAGAACAUAAUAAACAAUGAAUGGAUAAUAAGUGAAUGUGUAAAUAUAGCUAAAUUACAUUAGAAUUUACGCGUUCUUUUUCAAUGGACAUAUGAAAAAAGAAAUAGAUAUCGCUAAAAUCUAGCUUGUAUUCUCUAUUUCACCUCAAUUAUCAAUAGAAAAAUGACUCCAAAUUGUCGAUUUUUUUUUUAAAAAAAAAACAAUAAAGUUUAUUUCCAUCACAUUCUUGGAAUCAAAGGUUUUAUUUUGAUUUAUGAGGUAAGAAAUCCACAAGGUUCAAAGAAGAAUUUAUUCUUUUUUCUUAAAAAAAAAACUUUCUCAAAUUUAAUGUUGCUUUUUUGAAGAGAAAAAGACAAAACUAAUAGGCUAAUGUAUGUUUCUUCUUAAAUAUACAAUAUACAUAUUGCAUAUUUUGUCAUUAUUUUUUGUAGAUUUUAUAAAGCCUCUAAUGAUUUAUUUUAAUUUGUAGUCGAAGCAUGGAAAUUACAAAAAUAUUGCAAGGAUUAUGCCUAGUGAUUUUUUGUUUGAUUAUGCUAAAUGACAAAGUUGUAAUUGGAGAGGGUGAAACCAUGGUUAAUUUAACUAUUCUUGAAAGUGCAGUGUCAAAAGGAGCUGGUAAAUAUCUUUUCUUAUAAAAAUUUAACUAAUAUAUGAUGUUCGACGUAAUGUGUGUAUAUAUAUAUAUAUCGAAGUUAAAUUCCUUAAUUAUUUUUGUAAUAAUACUUUAUGCAAUUACAAAAAAAUUAAAUUAAUAGACAAUAAUGAUGAACGAGUCAUUAUCCAACUUUGUCUAGUUAACGGGCUGAAAUGAGUUUAACGAUGAAUAUGAGAUAGCUAAACACGAGUCGAUAUAUAAUGAUUUAGGUUUAAGAUAGGACUAAAUUUAACUUGAUUAAGAUAGAUGAGUUAAUAAACAAACGAGUCAUUUAACCUGUUAAAACUUAAAUGAAUUAGACGAUUUACAUAUUUAUAAAUUAAUUUUACCACUCUUAUUUCGAUUUUAUUAUAUGCUUCUAGUUUGCUUGGAUGGGACUCCUCCAGCAUACUAUUAUGAAAAGGGAUAUGGAGAAGGCGCUAAUAAUUGGAUUAUCUACUUUAGGGUAAGAGUCAUGUAAAAUUAUUUUUUCGUUUUAAUUUACGUGAUAUUUUAAUUAAUUUUCUUUUUUAUUAAAAUUUUAUUUUGAAUUUAGGGUGGAGAAUGGUGUUAUAAUGUAAUAGAUUGUGUUGCUCGUACAACAACAGAAAAAGGUUCUUCAAAAUAUGCUCUAAAGCAAAGAUCAUUUUAUGGAAUACUUAGCAACAAUAAGACAAUUAAUCCAGGUAAAAUAUAUUUAAUUAGUAAUUAAAAUAAUAAUAAUACAAUAAUCAUGUUUUCAUUUAAUUAUAUAUUAAUUUAUGUUUAAUUUUAUUUUUUCUUUAGAUUUCUACAAUUGGAAUAGAGUUAUGGUUAUUUAUUGUGAUGGAUCAUCCUUCACGGGAGAUGUUGAAUUAGUCGAUCCGGUACAUCAUCUUUUAACUCGAUUAUUUCGCAUUAACUAAUUUCUUACAAACUAAAAGAAUUGGGAGUACUUACAUUGAUUUUUUCCGUUUAAUUAGUCAAAAUAUUUUUUUGAAAAUACCUAUUUAGAAAAAUAAGUUUUUUUAAAAAAAAAAAUAAAAAUAUGAAAAAUAAAUUCGAUGAGUAGCUAGAUUAUAUAUAUAAAAUAUUUUUGAGAUAAUAUUUUCUAUUUACUUAAAAGAAGAAAAAAAUAUAUAUUAUCAUAAUUAAUCAACUAAGAAUUUUUCUAAUAUUAUGCUAAUGUUUUUAUCAGAUUAAUAAACUUCAUUUUAGAGGUGCAAGGAUUUUUCUUGCGUUGAUUGAGAAUUUCUUGGAGAAAGGAAUGAAGAAUGCUAAAAAUGUAUGUCUCUGAAUUAUUGAUUUUUUAUUUACAUGUUUAAUUAUAUUAUAUUUAAAUAUAAUAUUUAUUUAUAUAAUUGUUAUUACUGACCCUUGUUUUCUAAAUGUUAUGUAAUGUCUCCGUUUCGUUUUGAUAUGUUUUAUUUGAAUGGACGAUUUUUUGAGAAUAAUUUUUUUUACUUUAGGAGUUAAAAGUAACGUUUGUGUAAACUCUAUUAUAUCAGACUUCAUAUUAUGUGAAAUUAUAUAUUGUUAUUAACUAUUAUAUUACGUCUCAAUAUUUUGAGUGGACGAUUAUUUAAGUUAAUUUCUCGAACAUUUUUCAAAGUGUGUUAAAGUCUUGUUUGGCAGGCCAUUUUAAGUGGUGGUUCAGCUGGAGGAUUGCCUGCUUUAAUCCAUUGUGAUCGUUUUAAAGCUCUUCUUCCUAACUCAGCUAGAGUUAAGUGUCUUGCUGAUGGUAGCUAUUUUCUCCACAGGUAAGAUUUAACCUAAGACUCGACGACAGAGAGUUGCUCGGAUCGUAGGUAUUUCUCGGGUUAAUUUUGUUAGAUUAAAAUCAUUCUGUAUUCUAUGCAGAAAUCUAAUAAAGCAAACUUAAAAAGAUAAUAAAUCAGACAACAAAUAUAUAUAUAUGUCAAAGGACGAGAAACAAUAAGUUAAGAAAUGAACAUUGACCCGAAAGGCUCCACAGAGUUGUUGUAUGCGGGUACUACGAGGCCCACGACUUUCUUGAUCGCCUCAUUCGGGUUAAGAUGUGGCUAAAGUCUCUCCACUAUAUAAAAAACAGUACAAAAUAUCAAUAGAAAUAAUAAUUCAUAACCAACAAAGUUUGCUCGUUUUCGGUCUAACACUAUAUCUGUAUAAAAUAUAAUUUUGACCUUUAUAUAUAGAGAGAGAGUAUAGAAAGUGUUUGCUCAUUUUUUAGGUCAAUGCUAUCUACUAUAUAUGUAUAACAUAUAAUUUUAAACUUAUAUUUAUCGUGUAAUAUUAAUUUGAAAAAUCGCGAACACCCUUAAUUGUUAAUUUGUGUAACAGGGAACAAAUGAAGGAAAUGGCAUUCAUGGAUACCGUUAAUGAAGGACUGAUCAAAUUACAUGUACAAUUCCUCUUCUUCUAUUUUUUUUUAAAAAAAAAUAUAUAAUAUUCCAUAUAUAUAUCCUCACAAUAUAUUCAAUAUUUGUUUGUCUAAUUUAUUUUUUAAUCAAAUGUAGCAUUCAACCAAUAUGUUACCAUCAUCUUGUACUUCAAAAAUGAACCCGUCCUUGGUAAGAAUCGAUAAUUAUUUAUUUUCUCGAUCGAGCUCGUUGAAAUUAAUGAAACUAGUAUGUCUAAUGAAUUAAUUGCAGUGCCUUUUUCCACAAUAUUUUCAAGAAGGAAUCAAGACACCAUUUUUCAUAGUCAACUCAAUGUUUGAUACAUUUCAGGUCAAUUUCUAUUCUCAUUUAAGUUUAUGAAAAAAAUUACUAAAAUUUAAUUGAUAUCAAAGUUUCUUAAUUCAAAAAAAUUAAUUAUAUCUCUGACAUGUCUGAUUAUUUGUGUUUGAUAUAUAUUUACGAUUAUUUUAGUUUAAAUAGUUGAAUAAACGAUUAUCUCGAUUAAUUCUUAUUAUGUUUUUUGUGUGGGAUUAAAAAUUUUAUUUAAUUUUUUUUCAGAUAAACAAGACUUUUCCUGGUUAUUAUGAAAAUCUUUUUAGUAAUACAUGCUCAACUUCUCUUGUUAAAACUUUACAAGGUUAGUAAUAAUUUCAUAAUUAGCUAUCCCUAAUUGUCAAAUUUGUAUUUAAUUAAUUAUGAAUUAAACAUGUGGAAAUUUUGAAAUUUAACCUCUUUUUUUUUUUGUUUUAUUUCAGAUUUCAAACAAGAUUUUAUAAAUGCGUUACCUAAACAAAGUAAUUCUUCAUCAAGAGGAAUGUUUAUUGACUCUUGUUUGAUUCAUUCUCAAAUAACAAGUGGUGUUGGUUGGAAUGGAUUCUCCGUAUAUAAUAAGGUCAAAUUUUUUUUAUCAUUCUCAAAAUUACUGAAUGAAUUUAUUUUAUUUUAUUUCAAUCUUAAAAAAAAGAAAAAUAAUUUAAACUUACGAUACAACAUAUGAUUAUUUUUUUGAUUCGUCUCCGACCUUAUUUAAGAUUUUUUUUUUGUUUCAGACAAUUGCAAAGACAUUUAGUGAUUGGUACUUUGAUAAGAGUCAUGAACAAUUGAUAGACAAGCCAGAUUUGCCAUUAAAUUGUUACAAUUUUCCCUCUAUUACAAAUUUUUGCCCCUAAAAUAUGUACAAAAAAAGACUCAAAUAUAUAUGUAUUAUUAUUUUCAGAAGAUGCAAUUAAUUUAUGGAUUUAGUUUUAUGAACUUUUGUGUAAUUUCAAACUCUUGCAGUGGCGGAUCUAGGAUUUUAAGGUUGUGGGUGUUCUGAAGUGAAAAUUUAAAAAUACGUGUUAAAAAUAAAAUUCGAACCUUGGUACAACAACACUAAAAGAGUCUUAAGUAUCCACCCAAGAUUCAUUGGGUCAACUAAAUCAUUUAUUCAUUGGAUGCUCUAUGUUAAUUUUAUACAAAUAUCUAUCAAUUUCUACAUAGAUAUAUACAUAUUCCGUAACAAAGUUAAUGGGUGCUCGAGCACCCGACGACCACCAUGUGGGUCUGCCCCUGACUCUUGCCCAAUGUUGGGAGCACUUUGUUUGGAUGGUUAUUUCAUAUUGUUUCAUAAUGUAUCGUAGUAUUAUAUUGUGUUGUACACGGUAUUGUUAUAAUAAAUAUAGUGGUUGAUAAAUUGUAUUGCUCUCUAUCGUUAUAUAUGUGAUAUGUUCAUGAUAUGAAUGAUAAAUCUAUAAAAAAAGGUAGGGUACGGGGUAAACUACUAUGAAAAGGUAAAGGUAAAAAAUGAAAUAUAAUUAUUAAAUAAUAAAAAGAGACAAAAUAAGAAGAAAAUAUUAAUAAUAACAUGAUCACACCAGAUCGAUCAUUACAUGUCAUUACUUAACGAUGAAUUUAAACAAUACCAGUACGACAGAUAACAACCAUCUAAACAAGAUGUAAAACGUGUGAUAACAACCAUCUAAACAAAGUGUAAACAAUACAAUAUAACAGAUAACAACCAUCUAAAUAAGGUAUAAAACGUAUGAUAACAACCAUCUAAAUAAGGUGUAAAAAGUGUUAUCAAGAAAUGAAAAAAACACUUCUAGAUUGCUAUAAUUAUAGGACACCUUUUAUUUUACUCCUAAUUAGAUAUUUCUAUAAUUGUAAGGAUAUUUAUUGUGAAUUUAUUAAUAUCACUAGUUUCAAUAAUUUUCACGAGUAAAGCUAAUAUAGCAAUAAAUAUUAUUUCAUUAUUAAGUAAAAAUUAAAUUUAAUUAGAUUUGAAUAAAAAAUAUCAAUAACAAAAUUUAAAAUAUCAAAAAUCAAAGUCAAAGAAAAGAUAUACAGUUGGUGAAUGACAGCUUGAUUCAACAAUAGCUAUAACGGACUAAAUUAUUUCGAAUCUCAUCGGAAAGAAAGUGACAAAAUAAUCCUAAGUUUGAUAGAAUAUUAAUAUAAUUAAUUCCUAAAAAGUGAUUUUUUUUAAAAAAUAAGUGAGAUUUAAAUUUACAAAUUAAAGCAUUUAAAAUUAUUGGGCUAUAACACAUUGUUGUGUUAGGGGUAUUCAAAACUCGUUAUUUAACAAUUAAGUUUAUUAUUUUACUGAUAUACUCACUUCGUUCGAAAUUAUUUGUUAUGUUGCGCUUAUUGAAAGUUAAUUUGAUUAAUUUUCAAUGAUAAAUUGAAUCACAUUAAUUAAAUAUUUUAAACAAAAAAAUUAGAUAUUUUCAAAAUAAAUAUAUUUUUUAUCUUUAUUGAAUAUCACAAAAGAUAAUAAGAACAAAAAAAUAUUUAACGUAAAUAAAUUAAAACAUCUACUAAAUUAUUAAUUUAGAUAUUCAUCUUAUUCCGCGUAUCGAACGAAAUAAUAUUAUACUCCUAUAUGCUUUAAAAUAAUCACCGUCGUUCACGUGCAUGCCUCAAGAAUUUAAAAUCCAUUUAAAUCAUGGAUUGACUUUCUUUGGCUCUUGCUCUCUCUAUGGUCCUACUUGGAUAAAGUGAUAAAUGGAGAAGAAAAAAAAAGACAAAACAAAUGUCUAAAAUGAAAUUUAAAAAACUAUAUUGUAUUAGUAACUUUUUAAAAUAAUAAUUUUUUGUGAAUAGUUUAGAGUGGAAAAAAUAAAAUUAAUUUCUUGUUAUUAUUGAAAUUUAGCUUUAAGUUGAAUUUCGAAAUUUCAUAGAUAAAAAUAUUUUCAAGAGUUUAAAUCUAAAAAAAAACAGAUUUUUUUUUAAAGAGAAGUAUUGAAAAUAUACAAGUUACAUUUUUAAACCAUCGAUAAUCUUAAAAACAUUUGCUACAUAGUUAACUAAACUUAUGUACAUCUUUGAUCUAGCAACAUACGUUAAAGUACAAUCUCAAAUUCUGAUCAAGUUUAUUAAUACUGUUUUCAACACUUUUCUCGACUACUUAUAAGAGCCCCACACUCAUACAAAGUUCGAAAUCACUCGCUAUGUCACUAUUGAAGUUGUUUUGAAUUGUAACUUUGUAAGCGUUUUAUUAUCCCACUAAACAAUUUUAAACAUAUAUUAUUAUAUCAUUUUCCAAUCAUCCCUAGAUUUUAAGUAGCAAAUGUGUUCACACACUUAUAAUUACACAACACGUGUUAAUUUAACAAAAUAAUAAUAUAAUAAUAUCAAUUCAAGAUUGUUUGGUAGGGUAAUAGAACCUCUGUAUCAUUAAAAUAUCUUUUAAAAAUUUGAAAUAAGUUCAAAUAUCAAUUUAUGUCUUUUCUCUUAAACAAAUAAAAGUAUAUUUAUAAAAUUAUCAAUAACUAAAGACUAGCUAAUAUUUCACAUCAAAUUCAAAAUCGUUUUCAAAUAAUUUCUCUCAAUUUUUUCUUGAUCUAUCAAACGUCUAUUAAUAUUCCAUUUUCAAGGGUCCGUUUAACAUAAUUUCUUAUCGUAUUAUUAUUAUUAUUAUUGUUAUUAUUAUUUUUUCAAAUAGUUACAUUUAAUAUAACAAAGAAAAAAAAUCUCAAUUUUCAAAUUUCACUUCAACUGUUUUGUCCAUUCAUUGAAUGGAACGCGUUAGCUGAUAAAGCUUCCAUCAAGCACAUGGUUUUUGUCUACACUUAUUAGCCACCUUUUUAUUUUAUUUUAAAAUAAUAAUAAUAUAUUUAAUGUAUUUUUACGAUAAAAUUUAAGAAUUAAAGUUAUAUUUUUAAUGGAACGUUAGUUCAAGAAAUAUAUAUCAAAGCAAAAGAAUAUCAAAGUAAUAAUAACAAUAUAUUUAAUGUAUUUCUACAUGUAAAAGCCGAAAAUGAUAAUAUUUGUAUAGAUCUUAUCCAUUUUUUAAAAAUAAAAAGAAUAAUUUCGAUAUCAAUAUAUCAAACAUUUAAAGUAGUUUAAAAUAAGAACAAACAAAAGCAUAGAAAUAUUAAUAACAUUAACAAAAUAAUAUGAUAAUCAAAACAUAUGAAUUAAGUAAAACUAAUUUUUUAAGCCACUUACAAACCCUUUUUUAAGUUUAAUAAUAUUUUUAUAUAAGAAAUCUCUAUUUUUAUGUAUAAAAAUAUUUUCUUUUAUUCUAUUUAUAAUUGGCCAAAAGCUCUUAAUUCCUCGAUAUUAACAACUUUAUUUUUUCUUAAACAAAAAGUACAUAAUUAAACCACCUUCGAAGAAAAUGUGUUAAAACAAAUGAAUAUGUGUCGGCAGCUUCCUUUUUUUUUCCUUUUCAAUAAUUUAAUUUCUUUCUUUAUUCUGACAUAUUAAAAAAAGCCUACUUUAUUCUUCAUAAAAAAAAAAUAAAGAGAAAACUGAAAAGAUUCUUAUUCUACAAUACAACAUUAAAAAAAAUAUGAGUAAAAAGCAUGUUAAUUAAGAUUGGAGUCUUUGUUAUUAUUUUUAUUUUUUGGAUUAGUGAGUUUUUGUGAAUUGAAUUUAUUUUUCUUGAUAUACUAUUUAUACUUAAAGUUUAACAUAUUGUUAGAUUAUAUAUUUUUUUUUGGGUGAGUGAUAAAUUUAAGAUUAUAAAAUUUAUGAUUUUUUACACUAAUGUGGAAUAAUAAAUAGUUUUGCAAUAAAAUACUUAUAAAUAUACAGGUAAUGUCUUAAUGUAUAUAAUUUGGUGAUUUGAACAAAAAGUUAUUGAUUUUUCAUGAAUCUGCAUGAUAUAUAUUAGAUUGAUCAUUGUUUAAUUAUUUAAAGAAUUUCUAGGGAAGAUUUUUUGAAAAUCAUAUAACAUAUUCAAUAUUUUUUUAAAAAAUAUAUAUUAAAUGUUUUGAAUUUAAAACUACUUUACUAAAGGAAGUUUUUAAAGAAGCUUUCAAAAUAUAUCUUUUGAAAAUCUUUAACAGACAAUAUUUUUGGAUAAGUUUUCAUAAGAAUUCUUCAAGAAUAGUACAACUUAGUAACUGUUAAAUAUUACGAUGGGAUUGUAAUAGAAUAAUAAAAUUUUAUUCGAUCUUUAUUUAGAAAUUUUAAUUGAAUCUUCCUAAAUAAAGAGUCGCUCUGCCCUUUGUUAACCCGUGCUUUAUUUUCAAUAUAAAUUUUUUUUAUGCCAAUUUAAAUUUAAAUCAGUUUCAAAUAUAAAUACUGAACCCAUGAAAUAUAAAGAAACCAUUAAAUGUUACAAAAUUAAGUCAACAUGAAAAUUAAUUUAUGACAUUAAAUUACAUUAACAGGGAAAAGAACUCAUGAAGUCAUUAUAUAUAAAUAAAAAUACUCCCUCAUUUUUAUUUAUUUAUCCAAUUUUUAAUAAAACAGUUUUUUUUAAUAAUAUUUCAAUUUUACUACGUAUUUCACAAAAUUAAAAUAAUUUUAGUAACAUAUUUUUAAUUUAAAAUCAUAAAAUUUAAUUUUUUAAAAUAAUUUUUAAAAUUUCAUAUCAAAUUAAAAUCACACAAACAAAUUACGAUGGAAGUAUAUAACUUUUUCUUUUUAAGUACUAUAAAUAUAUGCUUCUUUCUCACUAGUCUCAUCCACCAUUUGCUUUUGGGACCCCUCGUUAUUUUGUCCAAAAAUAAUAAUACUCACCAGCUGUAUUUAUUAUACUGAAGAUUUCAACAAAAAUAAUUCAUUUUCAGAUUUUAUUUUUCUUCCUCAAAUCUUUGCUAUUCCAGGUAAUUAAUCAUAUACUGAACUAAUAUUUCAAUUCUGUAUUUUUUUAGUAAUUUUUACUUUUGUUGGUUCUGAAAUAGGUUUGUUUGAUUUAUUCUUUACAUUUUCUGUAUCAUAUGUUUUAAUUGGAAAAAAAAGAAGUAGUAACAUUAAUGGUGUAAAAAGAGAAUUUUUUGCUAAAUUUGUAAUAUAAAAAGUAUUAAAUCUUUCUAAAAAUGAUAUGUUUUUUCUUUUCUUGAGUUCACUUAAGUUUUUAGGAUUUUUGUGGUUUUUUUUUUGGUUAUUUAUAUUAUUUUGUUUACAUAAAUUUAAUUAAUAUAUGCAGGAUGGUAAAAGGGACAAUGCAACUAUUGCUACGUGCAAUAUUUACUUUGCUAAUUGUUUUAAUUAGUGAAGGACAUCCAGUUGAGAUUACUUAUCUACAAAGUGCAGUAGCUAAAGGAGCUGGUAAGAAUUUCCUUUUUUUCGAUUAGAGUCGGAGCUAAGAUUUUGAGUUUACGAGUUCUAGAUUCUAGAAAAGGGGUAGCUUAGUGUGUUUUAGAUAUACUCCCUCUGCCCCAUUGUAUGUGAGGCAGUUUGAUUCGUUACUGAGUUUAAAUUUUUUUAAAACUUGUGAUCCAAAAUGAAUAAUAGAAAUUUGUGUGGGUGUAAGUCAUUUCAUUAAGGGUAAAAUAGACAUUUUAUAGUUAAAUUGUUACUUAAUAUAGAAAUGUAAAUGCGUCAUUCUUUCAAACUCUUACUAAAAAGAAAAAGUAAGUCACAUAAAUUGGGAUAGAGAUAGUAUUACUUAUACACGUAUACUUGGUUAUGGGUAAAGUGAACUCGAAUUUGGUAGUUGAACUGUAGUUCCGCCCCUGGAUCCAAUGUAGAAGUCACGGAUUUGGUAUAACCCCUGACUUUGAUUCGAACGUUACGUAUGUUUAUAUGGAAAACAAGAUUCAACAAUGUGAAAAUGUGUUGAUUUAUUUUUUAUGUCAAUGUUGUGUUUUUGCAGUAUGUUUGGAUGGAAGUCCACCAGCAUAUCAUUUUGAUAAAGGAUUUGGAGCUGGAGUUAACAAUUGGUUUAUCCAACUUGAGGUUUGUCUCAUUGGAUCAUUUCUCGAUUUGUUCGUAUCAUCUUUGUUAGGGGCCAUGUUAAUCUUCUCUGUAUUGUUCCAAUCAUCUCCGUGGUUCUUAGGGCCCGUUUGGAUGGGCUUAAUAAAAGCAGCUUUAAAAAAGUACUUUUAAAAGUGCUGAAACUUAUUUUUAAAAUAAGCAGUUAUGCGUUUGGAUAAAAGUGCUGAAGUUGUUAUUUCAAACGUGAAAAGGGAAAAAUGGGAGAAAGAAAUGUUAGGGUUAUAUGAGUAAUUUAGAGAUUGUAUAAAAAUAUUAAGCACAAAAAGAUAAAAAUGUGGUCAACUUAAAACAACUUAUAAGCUAAAAAAAAAAAAGCACCCCUACCCCAGCUUUUAACUUUUGGCUUAAAAUAAGUUUUUUUUAACUUAAAAUAAGCUGUUUUGAGUAUUGCCAAACAGCUAAAUAAAUCAAAAACCAGCUUUUAAGUCAGUUUGACCAGCUUUUAAGCUGAGCCAAACAGGCUCUUAGUCUUAUUUCAGUCCAAUCGUUAGCCUUUCCCCUUCAAAUUCUUGAACUAAGAUAGUCGAGAUAUGCAUAAGCUGUCGUGUAUACCCCGUUAUCAAAAACUAGAUUGAACUUUUGCUAGUGAUUAUUUAUGAACAAUUAUUUGGUCCGCGUACAUGAAUUUGCAUUUGGAUUCAUCCCAUGACUUCAGGGAGGAGCAUGGUGCAAUAAUGCCACAACUUGUCUUGAACGUACAAAAACACGAUUGGGAUCAUCUAAACUAAUGGUAAAGACAGUGUCUUUCUCAGGAAUUUUGAGCAACAAGGCUAAGUUUAAUCCAGGUAGAGCUUUUCACCCUUGUUCAUAUUAUACAUCGUUUUAACGCCUUUCAAACAUUAUUCUGAUUGAUUGUGUUUUGGAAAUUGUAGACUUUUACAAUUGGAACAGAAUUAGAAUUAGAUAUUGUGAUGGAUCAUCCUUUACUGGUGAUGUUGCAGCAGCCGAUCCGGUAAUUCUAAUGUUAAAACACUAUACAAUUAUUGAUUUGAUAUAAACAACGAGUGGUGUUAGUAUCGUUAUAUAAUUGAUUGUUAAUGGACAUGUUGAAUCGUGACAGAGAACAAAAGUAUUCUACAGAGGAGCCAGGAUUUUUUCAGCUGUUAUGGAUGAUUUCUUGGCUAAAGGAAUGAAGAACGCUCAGAAUGUACGAUUGAUGCAUCAAUUGGUUACAUAUUAUUGCAGACGAUUAUAUAUAUGCUCGUUGUGACACAUCGUUUUUUUUCUAAUCGUAGGCUAUUCUUGCGGGAUGUUCAGCUGGUAGUUUGGCUGCAAUUCUACAUUGUGACAGAUUUAAAGGUCUCCUUCCAUCGGGUGCUAAAGUAAAAUGUCUCUCAGAUGCUGGUUUCUUUAUCAACACGUAAGUGUUCGUGUUUGUUAUUUUAAUCGUGGCCAACUCUCACAAUUCGCGAGAAAUUUAGAUCUUCGAGCUGCUACUUAGUAUUAUGUUUUUGAUUCUCUUGUUGCAGGCAAACUAUUUCUGGUACCUCUCAUAUUGAAAAGUUCUACAGUGAAGUUGUUAACACACAUGUAUGCUUCGUUAACCUAUAUACUCCCCCGACAGUCUUUCCCUUUUUUGUUAGUCUCGAAAAGAAUGACAUAUUUUCAAUAUUUAGUAACAAGUUAAACUUUAGACUUCUCGUUUUACCUUCACUGAAAUGAUUUAUAGUCACAAAUGACUUGUUUUUUUAGUCCAUUAGUUUCAAAAAUCUUUCUUCCGUCCUCAAAACUCUGUGAGAGUAAUUCUCUUAUCACGUAAUCUGUUGGUUGUAAUGUUCUUUCAUACUAAAAUUGAUGUUCGGACCUAAAAUGAACUCUAUAAAAUUUCGUGUUAAGUCACUAUGGAAGUUCUAUAGGUUCGAUUUUACUCGUACUAAGUGUGUUACAUUAUCUUGGAUUCAGGGUUCUGCGAAGAAUUUGCCUCAAUCGUGUACCUCAAGGCUGAAACCGGGAUUGGUAAGAGAAGUUCCUUUCACGAAAUAUAUCUUCCCUUUAUUUGAUGCAUCGUCUUAAUGCUAAAACACCGCUAUGUUGCAGUGUUUUUUCCCACAAAACGUUGCGCAACAAAUCCAGACACCACUUUUCCUAGUAAAUGCAGCGUAUGAUUCCUGGCAGGUCAGUUCAUGUCUGACUUUCCGCUGCAUUAGAAUUUCGUCUUUGUUAUCUCGGAAGUUAUUUUAUAUAUGGAUACACUAUAUAUGAAGACGUUCUGGCCCUUUAAAAUCGUUGAUUUUUGGUUAUACUUUGUUCUUAAAAUUUUCAGAUAAAGAACAUUUUGGCUCCUGGUGUUGCUGAUCCUCAUGGAACUUGGCGCAACUGCAAGCUUGAUAUAUUGAAAUGCUCGUCCGCUCAACUCCAAACUAUGCAAGGUUAAGACUCUUGAGCCCUGUGUUGUUCCUUCAUUCACUCGGAGUACAUCGUUAAUCUAUAGAUACGUAUAUGUUGGUUAUUGAAGUGUAUGAUCAUUUCAUCUAAAAAAUGAAGUUAUUAGUGGAGAAAACAUACUUUUAUUAUUUAACAUGCAAGUGAGAAUUCAUUUUAAUAAUGGGUGCAACGAGAUCCGAUCCCACAACUUCUUGUGCUGAUACUAUAUUGAAGUGUUUGACCAUAUCUAGCUCUCAGACUUUUGGAUGAGAUGAUUACACGCUUCAAUAUUGGUAAAGGAAAACAACCUCGACAAGAUUAUAGUAAACAACAACAUCGAAUCAGCCUGUCCUUUUCUUUGUGGGCUAACACUUUUAAACUAAAAAAUAACUAGUUAUAGUAAGCUUGAAGACGCUAAAUCAUAUGGUAAUAUUUACAUUUAGAAGGUGUUUUUUACACUGUAUCUAAUACAUGGUGUAAUUUUCUCAGCUUUUAGGUCAGAGUUCUUGAAAGCAUUGAACUCACUCGGCCCUUCCUCAACGCGAGGGUAUUACAUCAAUUCUUGUUAUGCACAUUGUCAAACCGGAACACAAGAGACAUGGCUAAGGGACGACUCACCAGUAUUAUCUGGCACGGUACGCAAUCAUGAACUCAACUAUUUCAAAUUUACAUUCAUUAUACACAACCACAAGCCUCUCUACCCCGUAAAGGUUGGGGUAAGGUCUGCAUACAUUCCACCCUUUUCAGACUCCACUUGUGAGAAUAUAACAUACUGGUUAUGUUGUUCUUGUUGUUUAUCGUAUACAAAAUUAUGUCAUUCCGUUAUUGACACUUCCAAAUAAUUUGUGUUCUUACAGACGAUUGCCAAAGCAGUCGGAGAUUGGUAUUAUGAAAGAAAACGAUUCCAAGAGAUCGAUUGUCCUUACCCAUGUAACAAAACUUGCAAGAACAGAAAUUUUGAAUAGAAUGCUCUUCCGUUUGAUACGGAUAACAUAGAUGAUUGAUGGAGAAGUUUGUAUCAAUACACACAAGACUUGCAAAUUUUGUGUUGAGGGAGAAAAAGAAAAAAAUUGGAAUUGAAGAAGUGUAUCAAAUAUGUACCACAAUAAGGGAAAGCCAACUCUGCAUAAAAUUGUGUGUUUUGUUUUCCCCAUAGAGAAACUAUUAUGUAUCAUUUUGUUUGAGGUUAAUAUUAUGUAUCUUGUUAUAAUCUAAUUGCCUCUAUUUAUGUCACAAUUUUCAUUUAUAGAGUGUCGAUUUGACUAAUCUUCGAAGCUAACUGAAUACUUUGUUUCAUAUCUGCUUUGAGCAAACAAAGAUAUAUGCUUCGAAACUAAUUUCACGGAAUAUCUCUACCUCCCACAAGCGACAAGUAUCACGUCACUUUGUCAACCAAAGCUAGGAUAGGUGGGAGGAAAUCUCUUCACCUAUUAUUUUUUGUCUCAGCAGGAAUUGAACUCUGAGACGUCAUAGUUUUUAACUGACUUCAUUGACCACUAUCCUUACAAAGGUAGGGGUAUGGUGGAAUAAGACGGAGAGACAUCAUAGAAAUAUAAUCUUGAAAAUAACGGAUCAAAUAUGGAUAAGUAAAAGUAGAUGGAGAUAGUAUUUCAUAUAGAAGGUGGAAUAAGUAAUUCAGAUUAUAAUUUUGAGAUUUUGUAAAGGUCACUUCUUGAUUUUUCAUUUUCCUUCAUUGAAUACACAAUAAAAAUAUUAAUCUCUAUUGAUCAAUAAAAUCUAAGAAAUCAAGAAUUGAUCAAUAAAAUUUAAUUAACUACUAAAAACACAUUAGUGCUUAGUGCAAUCUGUAGGCUUAAAGGACAAUUUGUUGGCCUUAAGAUCAUAUCCAAUUAUAGAAAUUUGAUUUGUUCCUCCUGGCACUAUUGUCAAACAAACAAUGCCUUCCACCACUUUCGUAAAAAUGUUUGAAGUUGACAACUCUAAAUCUGCAUUUGUAAAAUGUGCAACAAUCUUUGGAACAUCAAUAGUACCAUUCUCAUUAGACUCAUAACACAAAUCAAGUCUCCUAAAGGGAUCAUCCUUCCUGGUAGCAUUGAUCGAAAGCAUCAACAACGAUUCCAAAUUCGAGUAAAAUUCAUCAGGCACACAAGUUAACGUUGUGCCAGAAUCAAUUACAAUGUUUCCUCGAUCAUAUUCAGGUUGAGAAGUCGGAGAAGAUUUGAAUUCUAAUGUCUUGUUUCCAAUGCUGACACCUUUCAAAUUUAGAUAGUAGAAUGUAGGUGUUUCCUUUUUAUAGAUGGGAGUUGAAAUGACGUCAGGACCAGACACGACAGCGUAUGUGACUAGUUGCAUUGGAACUAUCUAACAAUAAUUCCAAUGGGAUCAAACAAUAAGAGAAUUUCCCUUUGAUUUGUUGAGGCAUUUGGUUGACAAUUGAGGCAUGGCCACCACCUAAGCCAAUGAUACCAGAAGUGACAUUGGGAAAUGUGCCACCAUUGUCAUGUCCACAACCAAACACAAUAUUAGGAAUUGAAAUAUUUUGACUAGAAGUAGAAGAAAAUGUGAAAGUUUCAAUAGAAAGAUCACCAAUAGUAUGAGAUAGGUCACCAUAAAUCACUACAUAAUUACAUGUAUUAUUGUUACAUCUUGACUUUUGACAAAGUUUAUUGUGACAAUUAAUAGUUUUAUAAGAUGAGCUAUUCUUUGGAUUGAAAAUAGGUGUCAAUUGUUUGAAACAAUUAAGACAAGGCUCACAUUGUGUCCAUGUCAAGUCACUAGCAGUGUCAGCAAUGACAAAAGUGUCUAUUGGGGUUGUACCAAUGGAUAUUUUCAUGAGGAAUUCACCUUCGUUUGGUGUAAGAGUCGAUUGAACACCUUUCCCUCGAAAAAAGGAAGCCCGAGAGAAUGACCGAUGGAAGGCCUUUUGAACACGUUCAAAUGGAGUGUUUGAUGGAUCGUUAUGUGGUGAAAGAGGAGAAUCGCGAUGUAUAAAAUCUAGAGUGAAGCCAUUUACAUCUUUACUAUCAGAAACUAAAGAAAGAUGAAAGAACGAUAAAAGAACCAACAUAAAAGUGAAAGAUUUAGUAUUAAUUUCCAUGGUUGAAAAAUGAUGAAGAGGAGACAAUGUUAAGUACCAUUUUAUAGGUAGCAAAAUUGUAUGUCCAAGUCUAAUUAAUUAAUAAAAAUUUAAUAGGGGAGAAAGUGAGAUUUUCUUAUCAUUAAUUAUAGGUAGCAAAUUGUAUGUCCAAGUCUAAUUAAUUAGAAAAAAUGUAAUAGGGGAGGAAGUGAGAUUUUGUCACCAUUAAUUAUCAAAUACUAGAGUAUGAAGUGGGACAUUUUGUAAAGUUGACUUUCAAUUUAAGACUUUAUAGACUACGUUGAGGAAUGUUUUCUAAUUAAAGAUUAAAAUGGAAUAGACAAUGCGUAAGGGCGAAAUAUGGGGGUCUCAUAUCAAUGGUGUGACGGACAUUGGUAUGAGCGCAAAUGUUAUAAAAGGGAUAAUCUAUUACUAUAAUAUCAUAUAUUGUAAUUUGAGAAUGUCAAAGCAUAUGAACAUUACUAAAGUAUUUAGUAACUUGAUUUCUUGUGUGUGGUUUUGUUCCUUUAUUUAACCCGUAUAAUUGUGAUGAUUGAGAUGAUUAUAUGUCGUAGCGACAUUUGAUAUAUUGAGAUGUUGUAUCAUCUCCUUUGAUUGAUAUCAUAUUGUGCACAAGCAUUGAUAUGAGAUUGAGUAUGAGUAAAAGUCUAACACGUGGAGAUCGUCCUUGUUGAGAUCUAGUUAUGAUUAUUAUAAUUUGGAUUCAUGAAGAUCGUUCAUGCGAGUGAUUGGUUAUGAUUAUAAGUUGAGCACGUGAAGAUCCUCCGUGCUGGGGAUUAUUUAAUUUUAUGAUAAAUGCGUUGAGAUCAUCCACACAGACACGUGGAGAUCAUCUGCGUCAGUAUAUGGACCUCGCGAGUCCCCUAUGAGUUAUGAACUCUCGAUGUAUUUCCGAGGAGUAUCAUGUAUAUACGGUUGAGAGAGUAUUGAAUAUUUCAGACAUAUCAUUUCAUAGUGUCGAAUUGUAUUGCAUCUCAUUACAUCGUUCAUUCUGGCUUGAUUAUAUGUUCUAUUGGUGUUUGAAAAAUACAAGACAUUUGAUUAUCUGUAUUGAUGAAAUCUUGGUUGAUAGAUAUGAUAUGAACUUGAAAAAUUAAGGGAUUAUUUUCUUAUAUACUCUUGUCACUACUUCUUCGUUGUCGGUUUAUGAGAUAUACUGGCACUACGACAAAAACAACUUUAGCGACAUUAAAUAUUGAUAUAAACAAAGAGUGGUAAAGUCUUUACCGGCAUUAGUUAAGUGUCAUUAGAAUCAAUGUCGCUAAAGGCUUUAGGGACAUGUACAAAGAGUGUCAAUUGCCGCUAAAAAUACAUAUUUAGUGGCAAUUAAGAAUUAAUUGCCGAUAAUGAUCAUUUUUGUUGUAGUAUGAUUACACGUGAUUUCAUACUCAUACUACACUUGUUGCACUCUUUUGUGGUGUUGAUUGGAUUUCAAAUUCGGGCACGUUCUUGGAGCUAUGAAUAUGAGUUUGGAUUAUCUUGGAGUUGUAGUGCACUGCUUGGGAUAUUUUGCGCCCCACACCUUAUGUAUAGAUUUUCAUAUUAGUUGGACUUGUAUCCUAUUGUAGAAGCUCUUGUACUUAUGACACUAAAUUUUGGGGGUUGUAAUUUAGAUUUCCGCAUUUCAUACUUGAAAAUGACGUACUGAUUGGAUAUUAUGUUUUCACUUACCCUUCUACUUUAAAUAUUGAAUUGAAUUGGUAAAAGUAUUAGGUUGGCUUACCUAUCGGUUGGAAACAUAGGUGCCAUCACGACUUGUGAUUUUGGAUAAUGACAAAGAUAAAAAGUGGAAUAAGAAAUUCAGAUUAUAAUCUUGAGAUUUUGUAAAGGUUACUUCUUGAUUUCAUUUUCCUUCAUUGAAUACACAAUAAAAAUACAAUCUCUAUUGCAUCAAAUGCAAGUAUAUAUAAGAAAUCAAGAAUUGAUCAAUAAAAUUUGAAUAACUACUUUAAAAAAAAACAUUAGUACUUAGUGCAAUCUGUAGGCCUAAAGGACACUUUGUUGGCCUUAAGAUCAUAUCCAAUUAGAAAAUUGGCUUGUGCCAAAUUUCCAAGUAUAGAAAUUGGGUAUCCUCCUGGCACUAUUGUCAAACAAACUAUACCUUCCUCCACUUGUGAAAAAAUGUUUGAAGUUGACAACUCUAAAUCUGCAUUUGUGAAAUGUGCAACAAUCUUUGGAACAUCAAUAGUACCAUUCUCACUAGACUCAUAACACAAAUCAAGUCCCAUAUAAGUACCAUGCUUCCUAGUAGCAUUGAUCGAACGGAUCAACAACGAUUCCAAAUUCGAGUAAAAUUCAUCAGGCACAUAAGUCAACAUUGUGCCAGAAUCAAUUAUAAUGUUGCCUCGAUCAUAUUCAGGACGAGAACUCGGAGAAGAUAUGAAUCCCAACGUCUUGUUUCCAAUGCUGACACCUUUCAAAUUUAGAUAGUAGAAUGUAGGUGAUUCCUUUUUAUAGACGGGAGUUGAAAUGACGUCAGGACCAGACACGACAGCAUUGUCACCAAAGUUGAUGUGACUAGUUGCAUUGGAACUAUCUAACAAUAAUUCCAAUGGGAUCAAACAAUAAGAAAAUUUUCCUUUGAUUUCAUUAUGCAUUUGGUUGACAAUUGAUACAUUGCCACCACCUAAGCCAAAGAUACCAGAAGUGGCAUUGCUAAAUGUGCCACCAUUGUUAUGUCCACAACCAAACACAAUGUUAGGAAUUGAAACAUUUUGAGUAGAAGUAGAAGCAAAUGUGAAAGUUUCAAUAGAAAGAUCACCCAUAGUGUGGGAUCGAUCACCAUAACGCACUUCAUAAUUACAUGUAUUAUUGUCACAUAGUAACCCUUGACAAAGUUUAUUGUGACAAUUAAUAGUUUUAUAAGAUGAGCUAUUCUUGGGAUUGAAAAUAGGUGUCAAUUGUUUGAAACAAUUGUAACAAGGCUCACAUUGUGUCCAUGUCAAGUCACUACCAGUGUCAGCAUUGACAAAAGUGUCUAUUGGGGGAGUACCAAUGGCUAUUUUCAUGAGGAAUUCACCUUUGUUUGGUGUAAGGGUCGAUUCGAUUGAAUCAACACUUUUCCUCCCCAAAAAGGAAGCACGGGAGAAUGAUCGAUGGAAGGCCUUUUGAAGGCGUUCAAAUGGUGUUUUUGAUGGAUCAUGAUAAGGUGAUUGAGGAGAAUCGCGAUGUAUAAGAUCUAGAGUGAAGCCAUUUAUACUUUUACGACCAGAAACUAUAGAAAGAUGAAAGAAGGAUAAAAGAGCCAACAUAAGAGUAAAAGAUUUAGUAUUGAUCUCCAUGGUUGUAAAAUGAUGAAGAGGAGACAAUGUUUUUAGUACCAUUUUAUAGGUAGCAAAUAGUAAUGUCCAAGUCUUAUUAAUUAAACAAAAUAUAACAAUUGGGGAGAAAUUGAGAUUUUGUUACCAUUAAUUAUCAAAUACUAAGUAUAAAGUGGGACAUUUUGUAAAGUUGUCUUUCACUUUCCAUAAAAUGCAUAAAUAUAUUAGAUUUGAUUAGACCAUGUCAUAUAUACUCCUUAUAUUUACAUUCCAUAAUCCUUAUAUUUACAUUCCAUAAUAAUAAUAAUAAUAAUAAUAAUAAUAAUAAUAAUAAGUGAAAAGCUCCUAAUAUCAAAGUUGAAUUAUCAUUUUACCCUUAUCUUACCCCUGAAAUAAACUAAAUAUUAAAAUCCAUUUAAUUAAUUAAAUAUUAAGAAAUAGUUAUAUAUUUAAAUUUAUGGUUCAAACAAGUUCUUAAUGCAAUCAUAUAUUCAUGUACAAAUUAAAUGUGGAUAACGAAGAGUCUAAUGACCUUGAAUUUUAAUUGUAAGAUAAGUGGGGGUAAUGAUGAGUCUAUCAAAGACAUUCGCACAACAUGAUUUAUAUUCCCUUACUUUCAUUUAAUUAGUUCGUGAUCAUCUUGCAUUCUACAUUAGGUUAGUCUAUAUCAGUGUAAAAUUUUCAAUACCAAGUAACUAUAAGAAUUCUUUUUGAUUUAUUUAUUAGUAUUCUUUAAAUUUCAUGUUUAUUCAUCUUCUUUUUGUUGAGAAACAUGUAUCUCGAGAUACACAUAUCUGCACAUAGCUUAAUGCACCAAAAUCUAGUAUGAUUUCUAAUAUUACAUAUCUCUAAGUAAUUACCAAGGUCACAUAGAUAAGUAUUGUUGAAGGGUAUUUUAGCUUAAGAAAACACAAAAUCAAAACAUCUCAAUUACUAAGUAUUGAACUAACAACAUUUAUAUUUAUUUACUGACAAUAAAUCAACAAAACAAGCCUAGUAUUUUGUACAAUCUAUAGGCUGAAAUGAGAUUUUGUUGGCUACAAGAUCAUAUCCAAUUAAGAGAUUUUGUUAGUAUUAAUCUUCAUGACUAUAUAGAGUUUAUGAAAGUUGAUGAAGAAAAUUAGAUUGUGAUUAGUAUGAUUUUAUAGGUAAAAUUAAGAGAGUGAUAAUGCAUGUAAGAAUGUGGAAAGUCAAAGAGAAAUUUGUGAUUUUGGAUGAAUGUAUAUAAUCAACUUAGAAGAAAUGCUUAAAAACACCAAGUUGAGAGUAAUUAAAAAUGAAACAUUUUUCUAGAAUAUAAUUAAGAGACCACUUCCAAAAUGAUUCAUUUAAUAUCUCUCACAAAUUAUUUUUGCAUAUUCACACUGUGGACAAUACUAAUGCAUUUAUUUUUUGGACAUUAAAUUAUUUAGCUUUGGUUUUAGAAAUAUAUAUGUCACUAUAUAUAAUUAUGCAUGUCAUAUGUUUGUAUAUAUAUACACACAUAUCCAACUUAAACUGCCAUAAGAUCACUGAAAAUUAGAUUUAUAGAGUAAAUUGUACAAACUCAUCAUUGACUAUAAAUUGGUAUAAAUUUAUAAUACAUAGUGCUCCUUUUUUCCUAAUUACUUGUUCGUUGUUUCUUUGUUAGUUGUUCCUAAUUACUUGUUCAUUCCUACAUAUCAAGAAAUGACAAUUUUUUUUUAUCUCUUAUACCCUCAAUAAGUUACUUAGAAAGAUGUGAAACUUAUUGAAAAACUUAAGUUUUUGAUAGAAUUUACCAUUUAUCAUGUGCUAUAGUUCAUUGAGUUUUGGUGAUAUGUGAUCCGACUUGUUUUUGGUCGAAUUUUUUCAUUAACGUUCAUCUAGACCUUUUCAAUGGCGCGAGUUGGUUCGGAGGGGCAAACAUACGCAUUUUUAAGUUGAAACGAGUUCUAAUGUGAGAAGUCCAAGUUUACCAUUUUUCGCAUGCUAUAGUCCAUGGAUUUUUGGUUAUAUGUGAUCCCAACUUUUUUUUGGUCGAUUUUUUUUCAUUGACGUCCUUUACGACCUUAUUAAUGAGGUGAGUUAGUCUUGAGGGGAAAACUGACGCAUUUUCAUGUUCAAAUGAACCCCAAUGCGGGAAAGACCAAAUUACCAUUGUUCAUAUGUCCAUGAAUUUUUGGUGAUACAUGAUCCCCAUUUUUUAGACCGAAAGUUUUCGUGGAUGUAUCUUACGACCUUAUAAUUAAUUGCAUAAAUUGGUUAGCAGGGGUGAACAGACGCAUUUUCAAAUUUAAAUGAGUCUCAACACGGGAAAGACCAAAUUUACCAUUUUAGUGUGCUACUCCACAGAUUUUUUGUCAUACGUGAUCUCGACUUGUUUUCGGCCAAAAAUUCUCGUGAACUUCCGUUGUGACCUUAUUAAUGGCCUGAGUUGUUCCCCGGGAAAAACAUAUGCAUUUUCAAGUUCAAAUGAGCCUAAUGCGAAAAAGAUAGAAUUUAUAAUUUUACGUGUGCUUGUCCAUUGAUUUUUUUUUGAUACGUGAUCCCGAAUCAUUUGAUCGAAAAUUUUCAUGGACAUCUGUUACGAUCUUAUAAAUGAUGUGACUUGGUUAGAAGGAAAAAAUGUACACAUUUUCAAGUUCAAACAAGUCCCUAAGCGGAAAGAUCAAGUUUAUCAUUUUCUGUGCGUUAUAGUACAUGGAUUUUUGGUGAUACGUGAUCCCGAUUUGUUUUUAGCCAAACUUUUGCAUGAACGUCGUCUACGACCUUAUUGAUGACAAGAGUUGGUCUAGAGGGAAAAACAACUGCAUUUUCAAGUCCAAAUGAGCCCCAAUGCGGGAAAGACUGAAUUUACCAUUUUUCGUGUGCUAUAGUCCAUAGAGUUUUGGUGAUAAGUGAUCUUGACUUGUUUUUGACCAAAAUUUUUUAUUGACGUCUGUUAUGACCUUAUUAAUGGUAUGAGUUGGUCUUGAGCGGUAAACAAAUGCAUUUUUAAGUUCAAAAGAGCUCUAAUGCAGGAAAGACCGAAUUUACCAUCUUUCAUGUGCUAUUCUCCAUAAAAAAAAAUUUGUGAUACAUGAUCCUAACUUGUUUUUGCCAAAAUUUUUCAUUGACAUCUGUUAGAAUAUUAUUAAUGGUGUGAGGUUGUCCGGUGGGGCAAACUAAUGCAUUUUCAAGUUCAAAAAGCCCUUUUUGCGUAAAACACCGAAUUCACUAUUUUUUGUGUGCUAUAGUACAUUGGGUAAUACUUGCUCCCAACUUGUUUUUGAUCGAAAAUUUUCAUAGACAUCCAUUAAAACCUUAUAGAUUGGCUGAGUUGGUCCCAAGGGGAAAAUAAUUGAAUUUUCAAGUUCAAACGAGCCCCAGUGCGGAAAAGAUCGAAUUUACCAUUUUUCAUUUGCUAUAUUCCAAAGAUUUCUGUGAUACGUGAUCCCAACUUGUUUUGGGUGAAAUUUCUUAUGGAUGUUUGUUACCACCUUAUUGAUGGCGUUAGGUUGUUAGAUUGACAAAUUGAUGCAUUUUUUUCAAGUUCAAACGAGCACAUAUGCAGGAAAGAUCGAAUUUAUCAUUUUUCUUAUGCGGUAGCCCAUGAAUUUUUGGUGAUACGUGAUCCCGACUCGUUUUUAGACAAAAUUUUUCAUGGACAAUCGUUACGAUUUUAUUAAUGACGUAAAUUUGUCCCGAGGGGCAAACAUAUACAUUUUCAAGUUCAAACGGACAACGAUGCGGAAAAAAUUGAAUUUACCAUUUUUCGUGUGUUGUAGGCCAUUGAUUUUUGGUAAUACGUGAUACCAAUUGUUUUUGGCUUAAAUUCAUGGACGUUUAUUACGAUGUUAUUAAUGAUGUGAGUUGGUCCGCAGAGGAAAAUGGACGAAUUUUCAAGUUCAACAAGCCAGUGUGGGAAAGACCAAAUUUAUCAUUUUUCAUGUGCUAUAGUCCAUGAAAUUUUGGUGAUACGUGAUCUCAAGAUUUUUUAUGGACGUCCAUUACGACUUUAUUAGUGGUGUGAGUUGGUCUUGAGGGGCAAACAAACACUUUUCAAGUUCAAACGAGCCCCAAUUCGGCAAGAACUGAAAUUUUACCAUUUUCAUGUGCAAAUUUUCGGUGAUACAGGAUUCCAACUUGUUUUUGGCCGAUUUUUUUCAUGAACUUCCCUUACGACCUUAUUAAUGACAUGAUUUGGUUUCGAGGAGCAAACGAACGAAUUUUCAAUUUCAAACAAACCCAAAUGUGUAAAAGACUAAAUUUAUCAUUUUUUGUAUGAUAUAAUUCUUAAAUAUUUGGUGAUAAGUGAUCCCGACUUAUGUUUGGCUGAAAUUUAUCUUACACCUAAUUGUAUCAGCAUGUAUCUGAGAUACAUAUAUUUGAGUGUUUGAGAGUAACAGAUACAUGUAUCUAACGAAGUAAAUAUAAUACGAAAGAUAACUUCAAAAAUUAAAAUGAAAACACAUAAUUAAACUCUAAACUAAUGAGAUUUGUGUUGUUUGCUCUUUUAUAGUAUUCAUUAAGAUUUUAUCCUUAUUGUUAAAUUUGUUAAUGUUUACAUGCAUUUUUUUUCCAUCUCACCUAUAAAAUAUUAUAUCAUUAUCUAACAUUUAUAAUAACUUUAAAAAAUUAGAAGAAUUUUUUUCUACAAAAGUGUGGCAGAAAAAAUGGUAGAGAGAAUUAUAAGAUAUGAAUCGAGUAAGUAAAAGCUCAUAUAAUAAUAAACCAUCUAAGCUAUUAAGAUUCUUCUAGAUUGUAAUCGAAUUUUUUCUCGUAAGAUUUCAUUUUGUUUUCUUAAUAUUUUUUUAAAAUCAUUUACUAAAUAAAUAUAUGCAAAAUUAUUUCCACAUUAAUUUCUUAGAUGUGAUCAGAACCUCCAAAAUAUUUUACCUUUAAUGAAACUGAUUUUAUUGUGAUAUUGAAUUUAUGUUCACAUUGUAACUAUGGUUCAAAAUCAAUUAAACCUUGAUAUCCUCUUUGCUAUUUUUUUCAAAAAGAGUGGCCUAUUAUAAUUCUAUUUUUAUAUAUAUACCAAAUUAAUAUUUGACAAAUUAAGUAAACUAAGUCAUUUUCAUAUAUUGGAAUCAAUGCAUAGUAUAUAUAUAGGUACAAAUAAAUGGAAGCUGAUAUGAUAAAAGGAAAAUAUUAUAUUAAAUGAAUCUUUUUUUUUUUACGUAUAGUGAUAGUCUUUUAAUAACAUUGAUGUUUAUGGUAAGUAAAACCCUUCAUUUAACAUAAUUUCAAAAUAAAAAUAAAAAAUGUUUCAUUUACUUACUCUGUAUUUGGUAUAUCUAUUUUAUAAAAUAUUUCUUCCAAAUUAAUUAAUAUUCGGUCCCCCAAAAUCCCAUAUUUACCUCAAACUUUACAUAUUCUUCUAUGAUUCACACUACAUUAAUUUUUACCUAUAAAAUGAUACAAUUUUCUUCACUAAACUCUCAUAAAAACUUUAGUUUCAUAACAAUGAAGAUGAAUACUAAAUCUAGCACUUUUUUAUCUACAUUUGUUUUUUUAACGCUAUUAGUUUCUUGUCGCAAUACAAUAAGUGAUCAUCGCGUUGAAAAUGGCUUCACUCUUCAUCUUAUCCAUCGUGAUUCUCCUCUUUCACCUCUUUAUAACUCGUCGAUCACUCAAUCAAAUCGUCUUAUAAACGCCUUCCAUCGAUCAUUUUCACGUGCUUCUUUUUUCAAAAAGAGUUCUUUUGUUACUCCCAACACAAUUCGAUCAGAUAUUUCACCAAUUCCUGGUGAAUACAUCAUGAAAUUAUCAAUUGGAACCCCACCUGUUGAAAUUGUAGCGAUAGCCGAUACGGGUAGUGACUUAACGUGGACGCAAUGCGAGCCUUGUUUAAAUUGUUUUGAACAAUCCUCACCUCUUUUUGAUUCGAAGAAAAGCUCUAGUUAUAAAACCGCGGGGUGUGACACUAAAGAAUGUACAUCAAUAGGGAGUUCAUCUUGUGUUAAAGGAAAUGUUUGUGAAUAUCAAAUGAGUUAUGGUGAUCAAUCAUACACUAUUGGUGACCUAGCUUUUGAUAUAUUCACUUUUCCUUCUACUAAUUCUAGUGAAAAUGUUGCAAUUCCCAAUGUUGCAUUUGGUUGUGGUCAUCAUAAUGGUGGAACAUUUAAUAAUCAUACAUCUGGUAUUAUUGGUUUAGGUGGUGGUAAUGUGUCAAUUAUCAACCAAUUAGAUAAAGAGAUAAAUGGGAAAUUCUCUUAUUGUUUAAUAUCAAUCGCAUUAGGUUCACCAAUUUCCAAUGUUACAAGUCACAUCAAUUUUGGGAGUAGCGCAAGCGUAUCUGGCCCUGACGUCGUUUCAACUCCCUUGAUUAAGAAGGAACCAUCUACUUUCUACUAUCUUAACUUGGAAGGUGUUAGUGUUGGGAAUAGGACGUUGAAGUUCAAAUCUUCUAAGGUUAGUUCUGGAGGUGAGGAAGGUAACAUUAUAAUUGAUUCAGGCACAACGUUGACUCUUCUACCUAACGAGUUCUACUCGUCUUUGGAAUCAACAUUGGUGGAUUCGAUUAGUGCUACUAGGAAGGAGGAUCCAUCAGGGACUUUUCGUCUAUGUUACGAGUCUAAGAAUGGUACUAUCGAUGCUCCAACGAUUACUACACAUUUUACAAAUGCGGAUUUAGAGUUAUCGCCAUCAAGCACAUUUGCACAAAUUGAAGAAGGUUUGGUUUGUCUUACAAUCGUACCUGCAGAUGAAAUUGCUAUAUUUGGAAACUUAGCACAAGGAAAUUUCUUAAUUGGAUAUGAUCUUGUGGCUAACAAAAUCUCAUUUAAGCCAGCAGAUUGUACUAAGUACUAAGUAAUUUGUGUUUGCUAACUAGUAUUAGUUUUCUUACUUGUUUGGUCUUUUGAUCAAUGUUAUUAUAAUUAGUAUUAAUACAAGUUAGUGUUGUUGAUCAAUUCUCUUGAUGUUUCUUUUAUACAUUUCAAUCUUAUGUUAAUGAAUGAAUUGCAUCUUUUAUUAAUUAUCAAUGUAAGGUAAACGUAAUAUCGUAAAUUACUAUUUUGAAAUCAAAUUUUGAUUUCACUAUGUUUAUGAUUUUAAAGUCGUGUUGCGAAAAAAGUUUUUUUUUUAAAAAAUAGUAAUUAUGGAAUAAAAAGAAAAGAGUAUAUAUAUGGAAUGAAUCUAAUAAGAUAUAUUAUUUUCUUAAUUACAUGAUUUUAUGUGAAGUGAAAUUCAACUUCACAAAAUUAGUAAUGGUAACAAAAUCUCACCUUCUCCCUUAUUUCAUUAUAUUUACUUAGUUAAUUUCUACAUUAGUCUCUUGACAUAUUUUUUUUAAAAUUUAAUUUCUAUGUUAGUCUCUUGACAUACACAUAAGUUUAAUUAAUUGAUUUCUAUAUUAGUCUCUUGACAUAUAUUGUUUUACAAUUAAUUAAUUUCUAUAUCAGUCUCUUGACAUACAUUUUUUUUAAUUAAUUUCUUUGUUAGUCUAAUACACAUUUGUGUUGAAUGCACAUUUCUGUUUUUGCCUCUCCAUAAUAAAACUGUUCCCUCUCUUUCCGUGGACGUAGCCAAUUUAUUGGUGAACCACGUAAAUCUGUUGUCUUAUUUUUCGCAUUUAUAUAUUUUCUCAUAUUAUCUCAAAUUUCGCACAACAAUUUGUUUAAUUAGUUUCUAUAUUAGUCUCUUGACAUGUUUUUGUUAAUCUAUAAAAUGGUACUAAACAUUGUUUCAUCAAUAUUUCUCAUUAUUAUUCAAAAACCUUGUCAACUCUCUAGCCAUGGAGAUUAAUAAUAAAUCUUUCACUCUUAUCCCAAUGUUAGUUCUUCUAUUAUUCGUUCAUUUUUCUUUGAUUUCUUGUGGUGAAAAUAUUAAUAGCUUCACUCUGGAUCUUAUCCAUCGCGAUUCUCCUCUUUCACCUUUUCACAACCCAUCAAACACUCCAUAUGAACGCCUUCAACAUGCCUUAUAUCGAUCAUUCUCCCGAGCUUCCUUUUUAAAGAAAAAAUAUGUUAAUCCAAUCGAAUCGACUCUUAUUCCAAGUGGAGGUGAAUACCUCAUGAAAAUCUCAAUUGGAACUCCCCCAAUAGACACUCUUGUCAUUGCUGAUACUGGUAGUGACUUGACAUGGACACAAUGUAAGCCUUGUGUUAAUUGUUUCAAACAAUUGACACCUAUUUUCAAUCCCAAGAAGAGUUCUUCUUAUAAAACCAUUGGUUGUAACAAUAAACUUUGUCAAGGGUCACUAUGUAACAAUAGUAGAUGUAAUUAUGAAGUGAGUUAUGGUGAUCAAUCUCACACUAUGGGUGAUCUUUCUAUUGAAACUUUCACAUUUUCUUCUACUUCUAGUCAAAAUGUUUCAAUUCCUAAUAUUGUGUUUGGUUGUGGACAUGACAAUGGUGGCACAUUUCCCAAUGUCACUUCUGGUAUCAUUGGCUUAGGUGGUGGCAAUGUAUCAAUUGUCAACCAAAUGCAUCAACAAAUCAAAGGGAAAUUCUCUUAUUGUUUAAUACCAUUGGAAUCAUUGUUAGAUAAUUCCAAUGCAACUAGUCACAUCAACUUUGGCAACUGUGCAACUGUAUCUGGUCCUAACGUUGUUUCAACUCCCUUGAUUAAAAAGGAACCAUCUACAUUUUAUUAUCUAAAUUUAGAACGUAUCAGCAUAGGAAACAGGACAGUGGAGUUCAAUUCUUUUCCCGUUGUUGUUGGUGGUGAUGAUGAUCCAGGUAACAUUAUAAUUGAUUCUGGCACGACAUUAACCUAUGUGCCUGACGCUUUUUACUUGAAUUUGGAAUCGAUGUUAAUCCUUUCGAUCAAUGCUACUAAGAAGGACGAUCCAUCGAGCUCUUUUCGUUUGUGUUACGAGUCUAAUAAGAAUGGUACAAUCGAUGUUCCAAAGAUUGUUGCACAUUUUACAAAUGCAGAUUUAGAGUUGUCAACUUCAAACAUUUUUACAAAAGUGGUGGAAGGCAUUGUUUGUUUGACAAUAGUGCCAGGAGGAAAUCAAAUUUCUAUUUUUGGAAAUUUAGCACAAGCCAAUUUUCUAAUUGGGUAUGAUCUUAAGGCUAACAAAGUGUCCUUUAAACCUACAGAUUGUACUAAGUAUUAGUAUUGCUAGCUUUAAUUCAAAUUUUAUUUGGUCAAUUCUUGAUGCCUUAUAUACUUUCUAUGUGAUGCUUACUAAUGGAGAUUUCAUCUUUUUGGUAUAAUUCCCCAAAUGUUUUAUUUUUUUGUUCCUAGGUUUGAAUAGAACUAGUUUAGUGUACGCGCGUUGCAUAUGUAUAUCGCAUCAUUAGAAAAUGAAUAAAGUAUAUAAGUUAUAAUAUUUAUAAUAUUAUAUUUAUUUAAAUGGAACAAAUGUGUGUUCUUUGUGAUUGCGGUGUACCAUUAGAACAAAAAAAUAACUUUUAAUGGUAAUAACUAUACACAUUAAUAAAGAGUGCUAAAGUCUUAAUUUGAAUUAAUUAAUUGUAUUAGAUUCAAUAUCGCUAUAGACUUUAGAGACAUUUAGUUAAGUGUUAAUUUUCUCUAAAAAUAUAUUUAGUGAUAAUUAAAUUAUUAUCGUUAGUUAAUUACCACUGAAAAUCAUUUUUGAUAUGGUGUAAGUGAUAUAUUUGUCACAUUAAGAUAUAUAUAAAAUUUUAUUUCUUUGACCAAAGCUUUAACAAUUAUUUUCUUGGAAAGAGGAGGGAGAAAUGGAAAAUUACUUUAAAGAGUUUUGACUAAAAAGUUUUAAAAGGUUAGCUUAAUUAUGUCAGUUUAAGUAAUUAUCACUAUACUACAAAAGAAAGUUCAAAUUUAGUGUUUACAAAGUCAAUGAAUUGCAUUAAUUAUACAAAUCCUUACUAGUAACAAAAUAUGAAGGAAAAUAAUGAGUAUAUAUCUCAUAAAUUAAUUAGAUAAAGUAACUUAAUUACAUAUACACUUCAUACUAUAAAGUCGUUUGAUUAUUCAGUAUAUCAGGAGAAAUACUGUAUAGAUUAGCUUUCUGUAUUAACAAUAUCUUAUUUUGUACAUUUUUUCAAUCUAUAUAUAUUCUGUAUAGAAAUGUGUAUUACUAAUAUCGUAAAUUUCUAAGUAUAUAAAAUUAAUGCAAACAUAACUAAUAUAUUGUAAUUAAUAUAAUUUUUAUACACUCUUUGACUCUACCAAAGGAGCCACUACUUUUUGUAAUGACAAUAAAAUCUCACUUUCUCCACUAUUAAUUCUAUUUAAGUAAAUUAGUUAAUUAGUCUUCACAUGAAAUACAUUUUGUCACCUAUAAAAUGGUACUAAACAUUUUCUCUUUUUUCAUCACUUCCUAUCAAUUCUCCAAAUCCCUAGUUAUGAAUAUUAAUACUCUUAUCCCUAUGUUAGUUUUUUUAUUUCAUCUUUCUUUAGUUUCUUGUCAUAAAAGUGUAAAUGGCUUCGCUCUAGAUCUUAUACAUCGCGAUUCUCCUCUCUCGCCUCAUCACAAUCCAUCAAACACUCCAUUUGAACGCCUUCAAAAUGCCUUGUAUCGAUCAUCCUCCCGAGCUUCCUUUUUUAAGAAAAACUCUCAUGUUAAUUCAAUCGAAUCGACUAUUAUUGCAACCGAUGGUGAAUACCUCAUGAAAAUCUCAAUUGGAACUCCUCCAGUAGAUAUUUUUGCCUUUGCUGACACUGGAAGUGACUUGACAUGGACACAAUGUGAGCCUUGCCUUGAUUGUUUCAAACAAUUGGCACCUCUUUUCAAUCCCAAGAAUAGUUCUUCUUAUAAAACUAUUGGUUGUAAAAAUGAACUUUGUCCAAAUGUAGGGUUUCUCUUAUGUAAGAAUGAUAUAUGUAAUUAUAAAGAAACUUAUGGUGACAAUUCUUAUGCCAUAGGUGAACUUUCUAGUGAGACUUUCACAUUUCCUUCUACUAGUGGUGAAAAUGUAUCAAUACCUAACAUUGCCUUUGGUUGUGGACAUAACAAUAAAGGGACUUUCACUAAUGUCACUUCUGGCAUUAUUGGCUUAGGUGGUGGCAAGGCCUCAAUUAUCAACCAAAUAAAUCAACAAAUCAAAGGAAAAUUCUCUUAUUGUUUGAUCCCGUUCGAAUCAUCAACAACUAAUUCCAGCAUAACUAGUCACAUCAACUUUGGUGACACUGCUAUCGUGUCAGGCCCUGGGGUCGUUUCAACUCCCUUGAUAAGACUGAAUACCUUUUAUGUUCUAUCUUUGGAAAGUAUUAGCAUUGGAAAUAAGACUUUGCCAUUCAAAUCUUCCAAGUUAAGUUCCAUCACACCACAAGGUAACAUCAUCAUUGAUUCUGGUACAACACUUACGUAUGUCCCUGUUCAUUUUUACGCGGAUAUGGAGAAAAUAUUGGUGGAUUCUAUUAACGCUACUAGGAAACUCGAUCCAUCCAAGUCUUAUAGUUUAUGUUACGCGUCUGAGAAUGGCACUAUCGAUGUUCCUAAGAUUGUUGUACAUUUUACAAAUGCUGAUUUAGAGUUGCCACAAACAAACACAUUUGUGCAAGUGGAUGAAGGUUUGGUUUGUUUUACAAUGGUGCCUGAUGAAGAUGUUUCAAUUCUAGGUAAUUUGUCACAGAUGAAUUUCUUAAUUGGAUUUGAUCUUGUGGCUAACAAAGUUUCAUUUUUGCCUAGUGAUUGCACUAAGCAUUAAGGAUAGUUAAUUAUAUAUGAUUAUACAUGUAAUGAAUUUGGCUAUAUAUUAAUCUUUUACUACCCCUUUGAGAUUUAUUUCAUAUGUGUUCAAUAAUGAUUUAAAAUUGGAAUUACAUGUUUAAUAGGUCAUGUAAUUGAUUUUUCUCAAUGAAAUAUUCUACAAGUGAUAAAUUCAAAAUUUUAAGACAAAGCAGAUGAUAUAUAUAAGUUUGAGCAUUUAUAAAUGACCGUUCCACUAAAUAAACUUUAAAUUCUUUAGAAAAUAUGUAAUUUUUCAUAUCUAAACAACAAAAAUUUCAUGUUAAUUCUCUUUAGCUACAAAAUAUAAGAAAAUUCAUCAAGUUAUGAGCUAUUUAGCUAUGAAUUAGCUCCAAAUUAUCGAUAAUUUUUUUUGCGAAUUCUAUGUUUUCAGUAGUUUCAAAUUUGAAGUAACAAAUAAUAAAUAGAUAAAUUUUAAAAAUUUGAAUAACUUAUUUUUCAUACUUCUAUUAACAAAUUCAUUUAUUAAAAAAAAUAAUUAUAUAUUUUAGAUAAAAAAAAAUUUAAAAAUAUAUUUUCCAACACUUAACAAAAGAGUGAUACAAUUUCUAAUCAAUUUGCAUAGAGACAAUGUCUUUGCUUUCACCUCCUCUCCCAAUCCCAAUUCUCCAUAGCUCUACACACCAUUUUUGUACUCUUCGUCUUGUUAAUCUUCAAAAGUCUCCAUCUUUACACUUCCACAGAAGCUAUAAGCUCUAUAUCGGAGCUUCUGCAGUUCCCCUUCACCGGAACUCGGCGAAUUUUUCGGCGUCCGGUGAAGUUCUUUGUCGAAUUGCUGCUUCUGCUGUUCUUUUUCUUAGUUUGGGUUCGACCCUUUUCGCCUUUAGGGCUGUUGCUUCAACCCAUGUUCCUCCUUCAGACCCUUGUGUAACUCAGCUUCAGGAACAAGAAUCUCAAGGUAAGGCUUUUUUUCUGAAAAUUCCUAAUUAUUAAAAAGAUUGACAUUUCUAUACAUUUUGAUGAAUUCAUUUUCAUUGAGCUAUUCAAAUUUUAAACUAUGAUGUGGUAUUUGUGUCAAACUAAUUUCCCAACUAUUACUUAAUAGUACUCUCUUACGGAUCAAUUUGUUUGUGUAAUUUUGACUUUGGCAUAGUAUUUAAGAAAGAAAAGAAAGACUUUUUAAAUAUGUUAUACUAAAAUAUAGAUACUUGAAUGUACCAAAAUGUCUAAUAAAAUUCGUGGCAACAUGUCGUGUGAAAGGUUGAAAUUAAAGAGUUGCGGAAAAAAGGAAGAGGCAUUGUUUUUUGAGAUAGACUGAGAAGGGAAGUAAGAUAAAUAAAGUGAAACAGAGGGAGUAGUAUUUUAUUUCGGUAUCGGUAUUGUUUAUGUAAGUAAGAUAUAUGUCAAACUAACAUCUUGAAUUGUGUAUCUAGACGAAUGUCGUGUCACCGGAACUCGGGGAAUGAGUUAUUUCUUCUCGAAAUACAGAGCAAAUGAGUUAUAGGUGAAACUCAGCAGUGGAUUGAGAAUUGUUUCCAGAAUGUAGGUAGUAUAUAAAUGCUAAUUUGUGAAAAUGCAAGUACCUUGUCGAAGGUUUACCACAGAGUGAAAGAGAGUUUAUCCAUUCAAAUGUUGUGUCAUACAGCACGGAAAGAAAGGAGUAAUUUUCUGUGGAACAUAUAGAGCAAAUGAACUGCAGGUGAAACGCAACAGCGGAUUGCCUGAGAAUGUAGGUUGUAUACACUAUGCUGUGAAGCUGCAAGUACCUUGUCCUCGUUGAAGGUUUUCCAAAGAGUGUAUUACUUGCCCGAGAGAGUGAGAAAAGUGGGGGGAGGGAAGGGAGAGAGAUAGCGUGGUACCACUAGAGCUAUACAAAGAUCGGAUAAGCUUAGUUAUUUGGGUUCAAUAUGGCUAGUGAGUUAGAGAAACAUUAUGCUCUACAUGUUAGCCCAUGUUGCAAUUUUGUCAGAGAUAUGGAAAAAGUAGUCUAGACCUAAUUGCAAAAGUGGGUACUAUUUAUUUCUUCUUUGUUACUACAAGCUAGUGUAACGGUGCCAUCCAUAUCACCUCGAGCAUAGGCAACGUAGAAAAGAUAGAAACUCAUAUACUGACAUUUGGCAAUAGUUGUUCUGUUCUUCCUUCUCUAGUUAGCUUAACAUUAGUAAAGAAGGAUGUCCAUGUGUUUAAGAGUAGGACUACUAUCAUGUCAAAAAAAGUGUGUGGUCUUUAUGAAGUUCCAUAGUGUAUUGAAUUCUUUUACCGCUGUGCCACAGUAUGUACAUGGUGGCAGUGAAUUCUUUGGCACUUCAGUUUUGUAGUGCAUAAGGAUCUAUAUUUUUUUAUAGUUGUAGACUUGUAGUAACAGGAAAUAGAUGAUAAUGCAGGGGAUACAGACCUAAAUUAUUUUUUUGGACUUCCCAUUGGAAAAAUACACAUUAAAAAUUGCACCCAAGGAUGUGCUUAGGGAUCAAUGAAGUGAGUAGAAAACCAUGAGGUCUCAUAUUCAAAUCACAGUGGAGGCAAAAAAAACAAACUAGGUGAUUCCUUCCCAUCUACCUAGGCCUUGGUGGGUGGAGUUAUGUGGUACUUGUGUUGGUAGGAAGUAGGAGGUAGUAGGUAUACGGUAGGAAAUAAAAACAUUAAGCAUUGUAAAAUAUGUAUUCUGACUGGAGUCUUAUUAUCUGAUCCAAGCAUUACUCUAGUUUCAUUUUGUACAUGACACUUCCAUAUGUUUGUAGAUGUAAAAAAAAGUUCAACUUAACUGAUUUUAUGUCUUAUCAUGUGAACUUUGGCUCUUACACAUACAUAUGACUUUUAUAGAUAUCUAUUAUAGAUUGGGAAAUGGGAACCUAAAUGAUGGGAUCCAUUUUAGAAUAUCAAUUCUUUUGCUAUCCCAAGGUUUAUCCUAGAUGGGAGUUACAUGUGAAAUCUCAUCUUCAACCAUCCAAGUCGAACCAUGAUGCUUAGUGUGAGACAUAUGAAUUAUCAUUGUUGUCCUUGUUUAUAGCAUUUAAUGUUUUUCUUCUUAUUGUUAUUGAGUGUUGCCCUCAUUCUAUUUGCAUUUGAUAGUAUUGAUAUAUAAAUGUCUUGCACAUUCUCUAUACUCUUUUUGUUUUCUUAUUUUACUUCUGGUGCCUUGGACUUUGGAUUACACAGGCACUGGAGUUGGAAAAUCAGAAAAUGGGGAGGAUAUCGAUAAUGAAGAACUUCAAGCAGCAUUUGAGAAAUGGAAGUCUAAGACAUAUGCUUUGACUGUUCCUUUAAGAGUUGUUUCUCUUAGUAACUCCUUUCCUCCUGUAUGGCUCAAGGUCUGCUACUCUGCUCGAUAUCUCACUUUUUUACUUUCAGGAUAUGAUCAUUUCAGACCUUGUGUGGUGUAAAGGUUGUAUUUAUAAGAUGUAAUAUAGGAUCAAAGAGAAAUUAUGAUGUUAUGUUGGUCUUCUUUUGCAUAGGAGCAGGGGUUUUACCCUGUGCACACCCAAAUGGUAGCGGCUGCGGGUUUUCCUUGUCAUAAAAAAAAAUACUGGUCUUCUCUUGCUAUACUGUUGACCCAUGUUUUGGCUAAUGAAUUCCUCUGUUGCAGAUACCAGUAUUUUGUGUGCCACCACUAUAGAUUUUUGUCUUGAAUUUAUUGUACAAUAAAUGCUGCUCCUCGACUCUAAAAUAAAUAUGGAGUGUGUGUAAUCACGGAAAAGAGUUAUUCCGGUGGAGGAAAAAGUAAGAACUUAAUGGCUCCAAACUUGCAAGUUACACGGGAAAUACUGUAAUAGUUUGUUUAAUUGCAGCAUAGGAAAUAUGAGAGUAGUAGUAAAUGGGGCAGAAGUCUAGGAUUUGAGCUUGUUUGCGGACCACCAAAUUAAAAGGAAGGGAAGAAAAACAAGAGGAAUAAUCAAAGAUCAAAUUUAUUUUGUUUUCAUAUUGAUGUGCACAUUGGAUAAUAUAGGUUACUGAUCUAGAGAUCAAGUUCUAGUUUGGAUAAUAAGAAAUUUUUUAAACAAAAAGGAAUUAUUUGAUUGUAGUUUGAAAUAAAUCUCUUCUAUAGAACAGUGCAGUACUAAUCUGCUCGAAAAACAAGAGAAAAGCUACUGUAGUAAUGAUGUCCUCAUUGCUACCUCGACCCAAUAAUAGUAGGAACUUUCAAAUAUGUACGCUCACCGAUGUUCUAAGAAGCAUUUAUCAUUUAGAUUGUGGUUGUGUACUUUCAAUCUCCUUUCGUUUGAUAAUGUAUCUGGUUAAUUAAGAAUGAAAUCCAAGUUACAGUACUUCUGAGGUACUUUGCCAAUGUGGAUGCUAUAGUUUGAAAAUGAUCCUGAGCUCUAACUUUAGGAUAUUUCUAGAUAUCAGCUCCUGUUCCAGUUCUCCCUGUAUUCCCCUCUAAAACACUUAUUUAUGUACACCCGCACACCCACCUUUGUUAAGAGACAAAACUAUAAGUAUUUUAGUUUAAUUUGUUAACUAUGGGAUGAGAACUCUGUUCAUUGUUACUCAUUGACAAAUCAUAGUUCACUGGACUUUUGUUAUUUAAUAUGUAUUGAACUGAUCCAAUUAUCAUUGAUAUGAUGAAAAAAUUGUACGUCUCAAAUAUAAUGGCUCUUUCCUCAUUGAUGUGUAGGAUUUUUUGCGAUCCCAAGGGAAGAGAGUGAAAUUACGUUCUGAGUUUCGUCAAAGCCUGCAAGACAUCUUUAAUGAACUUUGUAUACCUUUACAGAAAGGAAAAAUUAAUCCUAAAUCUGCUCUGGCAGCUGAUGUCGUCACUCUUGGUGAUACGUGGCUCAGUCAUGCCAUUGAGAAGAGAUUAAUUGAGCCGAUGGACGGUUUAGAAGAUCAAGAUUGGUUUGAGAAUUUGAAUGAGAAAUGGAAGGUAAAAACUGUCUUCUUCUUCUUCUUCUUCUUUUUUAUGAGUGACAUUUGCAUAAUGUGAUCUUUCAGGGUGUUGGUAGCAAUCCAGGUGUUUUUGCCUCAACUUAAUUUUUUUUCCUUUUAUCAUCUUCUAAAAAGAUAGUCUCAUUCUCAGGAUUGCCAGAUUUCAUUGUUGCAACGAAAAUUAACUGUUGAGGCAUAAAACUGAACAAGGCUUUGAAAUUUGUCUUUGAUUUGAAAUCAUAGCAUUGAUGUCAUUGGUGAUGCCUUAUCUCUUUUGUUUUUUAAUUACAAACUAAACACCCACCGUGGGGCUUGAUGCCUUAUCUCUUAAAUCAAUGGUUACAUGAAAAUCCGUUCACUUCAAUGCUAUGCAAAUUGUCCACGUUAUGCUUUUAUUUGAAACCUUCUUAACUAUUAGAAAUAUCUUAGAUGAGUUCUACUUUUCAUAAAAGUAUCUCUGUGUCUCCUAUUAUCAUGCCAGGCUGUAAUAUGUGGUAGCACUGUAUGAAACUUUAGUCACUCUUGUACCUGGAAUGAUGUAGAACGAGAGUGCAAGAAAUAACACACCUAUCACUAUUGGAAGGUGUGGAGCUCUCACUCAACAUAGCAGCCCCCGAAACCCAAUGCUUCAUUUUUUAGUUCACAAGGGGGAAGAGUUUUUGCAUCUCUGACCUAGUGGUCAAUGAAGUUGGUUGAGUUCAUUGGUUGAGAACCAUGAAUCUCAAGUUCAAAUCCCAACAAACAUUAGGUGAUUCUUUUCAUAUGUCCAAGCCUUGGUGGAUAGAGUUAUCUAGUACCUAUGUUAGUGCGAGGUAACAACUAGCAAGUACCCAAUAGAAUAGCUGAGGUGUGUGCAAGCUGGCGUGGACACUGUGAUUAUCAAAAAAUGAAAAAAAAAAGAGGAGUUGUUGCAUCUAGUUAACGAUCACCUGACUUCACACAGGAGGCACUUUGUUUUGAGGCCUUUAUUUAUUUUAUUUAGAUGAUACCUUACAUUUAACCAAAAUAUUACAUGCCUGCUGGUAAAUUAUAUACUAGUGAACUGUCUCUUUUGUUAAAAAAAAAAAAAAAGGAACUUGUCUCUUCUAUAGUCCUAUAUUGGAAGCAUCAUCUUAUUUACUUUGGCAUCUAUCUUGUACUUGGAUUCCUUUGAUAGUUCCCUUUGACUUAAAAUAAUGCCAGGUAUAUUUGCGCAGGAGUGAUGAAGGGAAACUGGAUGCUAGUGGUAGGAUAUGGGCAGCUCCAUAUAGAUGGGGAAGCAUAGUUAUAGCUUACAAGAAAAGUGAAUUUCAAAAGCGUAAAAUCGCUCCUAUAGAGGUAACUUGUCUUUGAAUUGGGAGUGUCACUUUCAAAAGUGGAACCAUGAGGCUUGAUGCUUUCCUUUUAUUACUCAUUGCUUGCAAUUAUAAAUUAAUUAUCAUCUUUCCAGCUGUAAUCACGCAUUAACAGUAUUUUCUACUGCACUCCUUUGAAACUGUUCUUCUGUUCUAGUGACUAAAAGUCUAGUAUCAGCUCUACCAAGUCUAUUGGUGUUAGCUCACUAUGAUUUCGUUGAAGCACAAACGCCUUUAUGAAGGUUUCCCUGUCAAUGUUCAACCAAACAUGUGCCAGACCCUUGCAAUGAAAUUUCUUAAUUUGUUUCUCUUUUUUACCAUGGAAGAUGCCUCUCCUUGUGGGGAAGUUCUAGUGACUAAAAGUCUAGUAUCAGCUCUACAAGUCUAUUGACGUUAGCUCACUAUGAUUUCGAUGAAGCACAACACUUUAUGAAGGUUUCCCUCUCAAUGUCCAACCAAACAUGUGCCAGACCCUUGCAGUGAAAUUUAUGGUAGAUGCAUCUCCUUAGCGUGAUUCUGUUAUCCUUGUUUUUCUGAUUUCCUUCUAUUUUGUUGUUUCUUUUUCUGUUGUUUCGUGUGUUUUCCCACUUUUGGAUAGAAAUCAGUAGGAACUCCUUGAAGAAAACAUACAUUGGGAGGUACUUCAACAUGCAGUUCUUGACUUCUAUGCCAUUUCCUUGUUAGCAUCUCGUUCUCUUCCAUUAUUUCUUGUGCAGUUCUUAACUUUUACACCAUUUUCCUUGUUAGAAUCUUGUUACCCCUAGUUAUUGAAUGCUCUUCCAAUGAAAAUAUGAAUAUUAUUGCAAAAUAUUUUUUUUCCGUCAACUACAUUAUACGGAUUAUUCAUUUGUCUUGGACAUGCUCGUGUUAAAAAAAUGUUAAAGUUCACAGUUUCCACGUGUUUUGUUGUUAAUGUCAUCUUCAAAAUGCUAAAAUCUCUAUCACAGUUAUCUAACACAGGGUUUUAAACACCUGUGCAGGACUGGGCCGAUCUAUGGCGACCUGAGCUUGCUGGAAAGAUUGCAAUGGUAGAUUCACCUCGAGAGAUUGUGGGUGCAGUGUUAAAGUACAUGGGAGCAUCAUACAACACAAUAGACAUGUCUGAAGUUGCUGGUGGGAAAGAGGCCGUGCAGCAGAAUCUUGCAUCACUUGUUAAACAGGUAAAUCUUUGAAAUUUUCUAGGCUUGUUGUAUGAAAGGUUGACUUUGGGUUAUGUUUUCGGUUCUUUGUACUGAAGAAUUUCAAAUUUCUGUGGUUUGUCCUGUCUGUGGUGAUAUAUGUUUCUGAUAAAUCUUCCACUACAAUAAAUGAAUUUUAAGUGUUUCUUUAUUUCUACAAAAUAAAAGAAGAGCAAAAAAUCUACAAAAUUGUCUGGAAGAGGAGCUGAAUCUGCAAGGACGCAAUAUCCAAAGUAAAUUAUUGUGUCUAGCGAAAAUUUUCUGGUACUGCCUGUGCUUUCCUUGCGGAGAUAGCACUACUAGACAACAAUAGAACUUAUUAAUUCUGGUGUCUACAUAUGAUGCGAAAUUUUCUGGUACUGCCUGUGCUUUCCUUGCGGAGAUAGCACUACUAGACAACAAUAGAACUUAUUAAUUCUGGUGUCUACAUAUGAUGCCAUGAACCUGUUGAUUGACUUUCAUUAGAUACAUGUUUGUAUACGUUUGAAAAUAGCUGGGUACUCUGAGUCAUGAACACUGAUUAUUCAGCUAGUCCUUAACUGAGCUUGAACACGUAAGUUGUGAUUUAUGAGCAAAAUGUAGUGGUAGAAAGAAUUUCAAAGAGACUUUAUAAUAUGCACAGAUAUAGGAAAUAAAUGUGGAAUUAUUUGUGCUAGACGCAUAGCUAUACAUGAAAUGCUUUAGUUAGUCAUACAUAAGCUCACCAAGUACAGUUCUUGUCAAUUUUCUCAAGUUUCUUUGGUAAUUCAGAAGUAAUUUCGCUGAUAUUGCACCAAUCUGCUACCGGAAACUUGACAAAUUAAAUAUUCCCAUUUUGAUCUUUCAAGAGAUCAAUCCAACUAUUAAUUACACCUACGCUUCCUUACUUUUCAGGGUCAUGUUUAGUUUUCUUUUAUUAUCAUGUGCUUUUAUGGCCCACAAUCAGAUUAAUAGAUUUCAAGAACGAAUAUGCAAGGCAUACAAUUCAUGCUUGUUUGGAUUUCAAAUGAUAUCUAUGUUGACUGAUUUAAAAUCCUUUAAAAGUGAUUCAUGGAUGUAAUUUUGAUCUGAGACCUCUAUUGACAUGCAAAGCAACAUUAUGCGCCAAACAAAAUUUUGUAUCUCUCUACAGGUCCGGCUAUUUGAUAGUCGCCACUAUCUUAAAGCCUUCGGAGUUGGGGAUGUAUGGGUAGCUGUUGGAUGGAGCAAUGAUGUCAUUCCUGCUGCGAAGCGCUUGUCAAAUAUUGCUGUUAUUGUUCCCAAAUCUGGUGCAAGUUUGUGGGCUGAUUUCUGGGUAUGUCCAGAAUUAUCUCACUAUAUGUGCAUCCUAAUGUUUUGUCUAAUCUUUUUUUUUAAAAAAAAUUCUUCCUUCGAAUCGAUUUUGUUAGCUUUUCAUUUUGUGCAUUCUUUAAUGUUAGUCUUUGGUUUAUACGCGUUUAGUUAAGAGUAAAAUAUCUUUAGGGGUUGUUUGGUAUUGGUGAUGGAAUAAACAAAGUAAUUCCGGUAGGUUGGGAUAUCCCUUGGGAUAAGUUAUAAAUGGAGGGAUAAAUAUUCUCGGGACUAAUUAAUAUCCCUAACCAAAUGCAGGAUAAAUAAUCCUGCAUUUUAUCCUGGGAUUAUUAUCAUUAUCCUUCAUACUGGACGACCCCUUAAAGUCUUAAAGCGUUUGAAAUUUUAUAAGUGGGUUCCAUAAACGCUUUCACUCGUGUGAAGUUGAAAAAACAACCAAGUGUAAGAAAAACUCUCCUGAUUUGAGAAAGUAAGCAGAAUCUAGACAGAAGAAUAGGAAAAAAUACAUGCUUCAGUCACGAAAAAAUAACUUUUCUGUUUCUGUCCGAAAUUCUCAGACUGGUGCAGGUCCUAACUCCUAUCUCAGAUUGCUUGUCUAAUGCUUCAUGAACUCUUAAUGUUGACAGUUAUAUUUUUAUACAUGAAUUAUUCUCAAGUAGAUCCCUCCCCCUCCUGUGGUCACCGUUGUGUAACGCUUCUUUCCCUAAGUUUUAUUCGUUGUAGUUGCCAGAUCAGACUAAAUAGAUUUGUGGAGUUAACUACUAAAUCUCUCGAACGUGCUUGCAAUAAAAACAAUUCUGUGGUAGUAUAUAUGUAUUACCAAAUGCAGCUAGAAUACAGAUUUUCUUCUACAAAAAUAACGUAAAAUCUCUCUCAGGCAAUACCUGCUGCUUCAAGAAUUGCAACUGAUGAAAUCGGUGGAAGAGUUAGAGGACCAUCACCAGUAGUGCAUCAGUGGAUAGAAUUCUGCUUGCAAGCUGAAAGAUUCAAAGACGACGUUGUCCCAGGUACUUCACCUAACACCCUCGGAUCCUCAGUUAAAGUCUCCGAAAAGCUUACUAGGGGUAGACCAAAACUUGAGACAAACCUCAUUGCUGGAGUCCCUCCAUCUGAUAUCUUGGCUAAAUGUGAACUGAUAGAGCCAUUACCAGAAAAGACACUCUCCGAGUAUCGAUGGCUGAUAAAUAGUGUACAGAAGCCAGAGAGUUCUCUGGCGGAUAGAUUAAUGAAUCGUAUCUCGUCACUAGCUCAUAGCCUUCUUUGUAAAGUACAGUAAACCUUAGUUGCGCGGACUCUUCACUUUUGAUGCCGCACCCGUCUCAAAUUCUUCAAAAAUACACUACUUUUGGCGAAUCCGACACGCACCCGUUGGCAUUUUUGAAGAGUCCGAGCAACAAACAUUGUGUUGUGUUUCAGUAAUUUUAGUUGAUCAUUUGUAAUGGUGUAUACAGUGAAGGUUUUUUUUUUUCUAACAUUUUUUAUGUAAUGAUAUUCCAACUCAUCUCUAAAUUCAGCGAUCGAAAGUUUUAUAAAAUCAGUUGUUCUAACUAAUUAUUCGUUUUGGAUGAAUUCUUGUCUUUUCCCUCCCUCUUUUAAGUGAAUCGUUUAUCUUAUUUUUUGUUAUGGUAAGUAUAAACGCAUAAUCGAAUCAAAUUAAAACCAUUAUCAAUAACAAUCAAAUCGAUAAAUGUAUAUUAUAUUUGAUUUUGAUUCAAAUAAAGAUUUUUCUGAUAUCAUGUGUAAAUAAAAUAAAAGAAAGAAGGGCGAAAGAAAAUACCAGGCAAAUUUGCUAUUUUCAAUACAAUAUAUACUUCUAUUUAAUCAAUAAUAAUAUAUGAAUUUAUAUAAGUUCCAAAGAUUAUUUUACCAAAAAAAUAAUAAGUUAAGUAUGCAUCUAUUUUCCUCAAAUAUUUAUAAUAAGCCUUUAUUUAAGUUUUAUAUUGAAAUAAUUAUUUUAUCUCAAUAAAGUUAGAGAAGCUCAGUAAUUAAUUGAAUAUUAACUUAUUUUAUUUCAAAUAUCACCAAAUUCAGCUAAUUGAAUUAAUUUGGUCACAUCUUAAAUUUAAUUUUGCUGAAAUUGCAAUGCAAUUUGACUUUUAAUUCUUUUUAAUAAAUAUUUAGAUAACUACUUAAAUAUUAAUAUUUGAACCAGUAUAUAUGUAAUUUAAAUUAAUAAUUAAAUUACUUUUUCCGAUACAGUUUUUAAUUUCAAUCUUAGAAUAAAUUAAUAAUUUUAUUUUGUUAAAAUUUAAAUUUUUUGAUUAAUUAACUAUUUAAUUCAACUUGACAACAUAAAUGGUCUCUCAAUCAUAUUCAGCGAACGAAAUGUAAUUUUAACUAGACAGUAUUUAAAUAAGAAAAAUAUUUAAUUUGAUUCCAUAUAAAUAAUUUUAAGCAAGUAUAUAUAUUUAAUUAGAGUAGCUAGUGAACCUAUGUAGCAAAUAUCAUAUUUAAUUAGAAAAAACGUUUAACUUAAUUCCAUAAAAAUAAUUUUAAGUCAGUAAAUCUAAUUUUCAUUAUAAAAAUACUUAAAAUAAUGCUUAUUUUGAUAAUUAACUAAUCUCCAUACUUUUCAAAUUUGAUUUUGACUAGACCGAGCUUAAAUAAGAAAAAUAUUUAACUUUGACUCCAUAAAAAUAAAUUUAAGCAAGUAAAUCUAGUUUCAUUAUAAACAUACCUAAAACAAUGCUUAUUUUGAUGAUUAACUAAUCUCCAUAUUUUUUGAAAUUCAUUUUUGGCUAGACAGUGCUUAAUUAAGAAAAAUAUUUAACUUAAAUUCCAUAAAAAUAAUUUUAAGUAAUUAAAUUUAAAUUUCAUUAUAAAAAUACCUAAAAUAAUGCUUCUUUUGAUAAUUUGAGACACGACUAUCUCUAUAAAUAUCAAACAAUUUUUAAUAAAUCAAUAUAGAAAUACUGUGUUUGAGUCUCGUUGUCUUCUAUUAUAAAAAAAUGGAUCUUAGAAUGGUGUUUUCUUUGAUUGUAUUGAUGUUUUUCGUGAUCGAAGGAAAUCGUGUCGUAGAAGGUGAAGAUAAAAUUAUUAUUUAUACAUGUAACUUAGAAGACUGCAUACAACAAUGCAAAGCUGCUUGGGGGCCAAAAUUUGAUGGAGCUUUUUGUCAACAUACAAAAUAUGGAGAUCGAUGUGUCUGUGGACAUACAGCCUCACUACCCCAUAAAGGAUCGAGAAAAAAUUUGCUUAUGUUUUAAAUAUAAAUAAUUUUAUGUCUCUGAAUUGUUAUUGAUAAUUUUAAGAAUUUUAUUUCAUGUUUUAGAAUGACUUGACUUUUUAAUCAUUUUGUUAUUUAUAAGUGUUUUGUUUUGAUUAUCAUUUGGAUAUGUUGGUACAUCACAACUUGAUUAUAUAUAUGUUUCCUUCUUAAGAUAUAUUCUAUAAUCGAGAAAAAUGACUAAAUCUGAAAAGAUCAAAGUGAAAAAUUGACUUAAUUUUAUUUCAACAUGUUAAAAAU